GACGACGCCCUCCUCCUGCUUCUUGGAGACCUUCUUGGGCUUGGCGUCCGCCUCCACGGCCGCGGUGUCGGUGGUAGACGUCUGCGCCCGGAUGACGGCCCGCGCGGCCCUCGGGCGGUAGGAGAGGAAGUGGGCGGCGGCAGGGGACGCCGGCGCCUUGGCGGCCGGCGAGGAGGAGAGGGAGACGGCCACGGCCGUGACGGCGGCCAUGGCUCGCGAAAAUCAGCUGUUGAAUGCGCGGGGAGGAGAAGGGAAGGGAGGGAAGAGCAGGACGGGGAAAUCCGAACUGGAGGAGGCGUGAAGAAGAAGAUGAGCUCCGGACAGUGAAACGACGAUGAGUGGAAGACAGCGAAGAUGACGAGCAUGUGGUUGUGGUGGAUGCGAGGGAAGAAUUCUCUCAUCUCAGUUCAGGCAGCUUCUCAGCCGUCCGAUCACACUCUUGCUCGCCUGGACCUGGCAGGUGGGCCCAUUGGGCUUGGGUACCUGCCAGGAACCUUGAAUUGCCCCCGCCCUAGGGAGUAUUUCCGCCGUUAAUUCCACUGUGACACAGCGUUAUACUUUGUGCCGCAAUUUUUUUUUGCUCAAAAGUACAAUGCAAGGUUAUAAUUUGUACCAAGAUUACUACAAGGAAACCAAACAGUUAAUCAGAACAACGAGGAAACCAAACAGUUAAUCAGAACAACGAAUGCAUUCCUUUCUCUUCCAAUCAACCGAAAUACAAGGCACAAACGACACUAGUUACACUUAUACUACACGGAUCUCAACUGAGCCCAUUUUUUUUCGACAGUACAUCUGAUUUGAAGAACAACUCUACUUAAAAUUUGUACCACAAAUAACUAAAUAAAUCAAUCAACAAAGUUUAAGUUAUUUUGCUCGUUCAUCGGCGGUCGUAUGGCCCAUGCGUCCUUGAUUCCUUAGCACUUGGGCAUGCUAGGAGGACGCGGCAACAUCUGAGCGUCCGGAGUCUUGCCAUUUUUCACGAUGAAGACAGUGUCCAUGCCCCACACCGUGUGACGAUCGAAGUGGCAAUGCAUAAACCACACCCCUAAGAAAAAACAGCACAAAGUUAAUUCUCAUAAAGAUCAUGAGCCAAAUUAGCAAAUUCUCUCUCACUCACCAGGGUUUGCAGCCCGGAAGCGGAUUGCAGCCCACCCGCCAGCGGGCACGGAGACGGUGUUCUGGUACGGCGGGUCCACCAGGUUGUACGCGGCUGGGUCCUUGCUCUCGUCGAAGUUGCCGAACCCUCUGCCCACCACGUAGAAGGCGUAGCCGUGCAGGUGUAUGGGGUGCGGCUCGGCGCCGAGGAUGCCCGUGCCCUGGAACACCACCUCCACGACGGCGCCGUACUCCACCACCUUCACCUUGGUGCCCCGCCUCGUGAACCAGAGCUCCUGCGCCGGCUCGGAAUCCGUGAAGUUGAAGGCCACCGGCGGCCUGUCGGGGAAGUCCGGCUCGUACACGCCGGCGAUGGAGGAGUAGUAGGCGUCGAGAACGUCGACGGCCGGGCUCACGAAGCUGACGUUGUUCAGGCUCGCCGAUAACCGGGUGCCGUUGAUGGGGCCAUCGCACGUCUCGUUGCUAUUGGCCCCGCCGCCGCAGGGGAGCACGUUGACGGAGACGGUCACGAGCAUGCGCUCGUCGACGCGCGCUGGCACGUCGGCGGGGUGGGCCUCGGAGGCCAGGGACCGGAGCCGCGCCGUGUACGCCGUCGCCGCGCCGAUGUCGCGGACGGCCGGCAGGACGGGGAGCUCCGGCGGCCCUGCGGCGUCCGUGUACUCCAGGACGGCCGUGGCGGUGCUGUUGUUGAUGCUGAGCUGCAGGUUGGUCUGGAACGUCCUCGCAGCCAUGUAGUAGCGGCCGCCGCCGUUCGGGGCGCGGCCGGCGUGGAGGAGCGCGUCCACGGUCUGGCCCGACGCGAUCAUGACGUGGUCGGCGGCGAACGGCUUGAGGUAGCGGCCGUCAGUGCCGACGACCGUGAGGCGGUGGCCGGCGACAGCGAAGAACAUGUCGUUGGUGAGCCCCGCGUUGAUGAUCCGGAGCAGGUACGUCUUGCCGUGCUCCACGACCGCCCUGAAGGUGCCGUUCCUGGAGCACGGGAACAUGUCGCCGGGCUGGCCGUUGAUGGUGUUGGCGUCCGAGACGUUGACGUCGCCGCCGGUCCGCUUCGCCUCCUCCAGCAACUGCUCCACGUCCACAUUCCACCACUCGCCUGCAUCCAGAUUUUUAGCCAUAAUUCAUUCAGAAUCUCAGACUAAAACACUGAUCAAUCCUAGCAAUUAAUAUAAUCCAAGUAAUUCAAUGUACCGAGGAUGAUGGGUAUCUCCUUGUGGGGCUUGGGGUAGGGGUAGGUGGAGCCGAGCUUGGGGUGAACAACAAUGGCACCGUGGACGGUGGCGCGGUCGAAGUCGCUGUGGGCGUGCCACCAGAGCGUCCCCUCCUCGUCGGAGAGGAUGAUGGUGUAGGUGAAGUUGGCGCCGGGGCGGAUGGGGCACUGCGUGAUGUACUCGGGCCCAUCGAACCAGGGGUUCCGGGGCUGGUCCACGCCGUGCCAGUGGAGGGUGAUGUUCUUGUGGCCCUGGUUGUGGACGUUGACGACGACGACGUCGCCCCUGCGGGCGUAGAUGGUCGGGCCUGGGAACUGCCCGUUCACGGCGAGGACGGCCUUCUCGUGGCACAGCCGGGUGACGUUCGUCUCCUUUAUCUGCAAGGUAUAGUUUCACACGCCGUUAGAUUCAAAUAAAAUUGUCUUCUUCAAGGACCGGGAUAAAAUUGUCUCCUUUAUCUGCAAGGUUUAUGUGCAACCUUUAAUUUCGAUCAUGUGCAGGAGCAGAAGAAUAAUAGGUAAUGCAAGUGAUCACUAUCACCAGUUGGCAUAAGCAAAAUUGGGAAACUGCAGCUUUCAUGAUUACUAUGGUGACUAGGAUUUCUAGAUGAGCACUGUGAGUGCUAAAAAGUCAAUCUGCACCUCUCGAAAUAUAAAGCUAGCAGAAGUUGCUAGGAUGCACAAUGUAUCUUACAAUUCAUAUUAGAUACCUGACACAUGCAAAUGAAGGCAUGCAAACACUAAGCUAAAGUAUUUCAAAAACCAAAACUUCGACUAGUGCUGAUUACUUAUGGCUGCAGAAUGCAGAUACUAGUCAAGCAGAGCUAGAUUCGUGCAGCUGUGGAACUAACUCGUAAUAACAAGUUGAAACAAGAUGGAUCGAUGGAUCGACUUACAAAGAAGUCGUAGUGGUUGGUCCCGGAGGCCUGCGCCGGGGUAGCUGCAACCCCAAAGGCCACCGCCACCACGCCCAGCAGUAACCAAAGCGCUGGAGGCACCUUAGCUACGCCACCCAUCGUCGUCCGGCGUCGCCGGCCGAAGGGGCAGGCAAUGCAAACCGCUACGCGUAAUUGUGUAUGUGCAAGCUAUUGGGACGAGUGCAAUUAAGCUGAAGGGGCAAUCAAGCAGCAAGCAGAAGUGGGCAGUGCAACGUGCUCUGAGUUGCUGCGGAGGAUGAUCGAAUGAAGCAGGUGCAGCAGGUACUUAUAGGACCGACGGCGACGACACACAAGCAUGCUUCGUCGUCGUCGCAUUGUCACGCACCUAACCUUUUUUAAAAAACUAGUCCAUCGGUUGAAAACUUGGAAUGGUUAUUGUCUCUUGCCUAUCUGCAGGCGUGGCGUGCGACGACUAAUAUAAUUAUUCGGACUUGUGAGUUACCAAUACGAUGUAGACCCACACGCACAGGAUAUGAAGUAGUCUGACCCACAAGGGGAUCGCUUCUGUCUGGGUUUUAGAUGGAAGUAUAGUCCUAUUCCGGAAAGACACUUGGAACAAUCAUCUCUUACUGUGCGACUUUUCGCAACUAGCUUCAUUCGCAAAAAAUGAGGUGAUCACCUUAAGGAGGUUGUGGAGGAACAUCUGAUAGAUGCAGUGCAUCUUCCAUUGUCAGUGGAGGCGCACGCCCAACUUGCUCAACUGCAGGAGAUUUUGCAACAGCUCGAUAAUGCACAGCCACAUGAUUUAUGGGUUUACAUCUGGGGUAAUUCAAUUUUUACGGUAUCUAAGGCAUAUAAGACCCGGAUUGGUGAAAAAGGAAUCCAUCCUAUUCAUAAUUGGCUAUGGAGGUCCAAAUGUCAAAAGAAGCACAAGGUUUUUUCUGGUUGCUUAUCAAGGACAUAGUCAGUACGAGAGAUGUUUUAAGCAGGAGAUCCAUGACCCUAGAGUCUGUAUCUUAUGAAAUGUGCAUACUUCAAAAACGGGAGACAGCAGCACACCUUUUCCUACGAUGCAAUUUUGCCAAGGGUUGUUGGUCAUCAGUUGGUAUCACAUAUACUUCUACCAAACCGAUCAUUUUCAUCUUCAAUGCUAUUCGAAGACAGCUACAAUUACCGUUCUUUAUGGAAAUCAUAGUCCUCAUGACAUGGAGUAUUUGGACGACCAGAAAUGAAUGGACUUUCAAUAAUUCUACUCCAAUGAUUAGGGACGUCAAAUGGAAAUUUGUCUCAGAGUUUCGCCUGGUAGCUCUUCAUAGGGCCAAGAUCCAGAUCCAGUCAGUUAUGUUAGCUUGGGUAGACUCCCUGAAAAUCUUGUUUCUUGUUCUUGCUUUAUGUUCUUGCUUUAUUUUUUGAUCUUUCGGUCAUGUUUUGUAUUUGAACUCUUAUGUUGCUUAGCAUUUUAAUAAAUUCAUUAGGGGACUCCCCCUCCUGUUCCUUCAAAAAAAAAAGUAGUCUGACCUAAGCAAUUUUUCCUUGGACCAGGGCGAGCGACUUUCCUCUGCUGGUGAACUUUUUGCGAAUUUUUCAACCCAAAAUCGGGUAAGGGUCUCUGAACCUACUCACUGCCUCGUAUACUUCUGUACUAAUUAAUGUGUGUAAUUGUGCAACAAGUUGCGUUGUUUUAAUUUUGUGAUGACUACUAAUAAUGCUUCGAAUGCAUGAUUCUCUCUUGCCGAGCUUUAGCUGCAUGCUCUGAUUUUCCCACGUUUUAACUUUCGUGUUCAGUUUUCCGCCGGCGACAAGUGGCACGGUGUCUGAUCCAGAAGCCGCGUGCGUGAAAUACCUUAUUGUCCGUUCGCUAGCGUGAGUUGAUUAUAAUUAUAAAUCAUUUUAAUGUUUUUAAAUUCAUAGUUUUUAUUAUAUAUCUAGACUAUUGUAUAUCUAAAUGAAUAGCCUACAAUUUGGAGGGAGUGCCUAAUUCCGGAGGCCGGAGAUGGAGAUGAUCAAUUUGACUACCAAGUAUAUAUACUACACCAAUAAUGAAUAACGAAGGUAGAUAAUGAACCUAACAUUCUAUGCAAGAUACACUAUCUAUCCCUUAGCUCGUUCAAUCGCACCGUCCGUCUCAACUACCCGUGUAGCCUAGUUAGGCGGUGCAUGCCCCAAUCUACCACAAGCAUGAAAUCUACUCCAUGUGCGAUCAAAUUUCAUGUUCCCACGUGGAGAUUAACUUGUGGCAAGUGGGUGAAACCUGCAGCAAGCAAAUAAGUUAAGCUUUUCUUGUUUUAAGUGGCCCCAUAUUAACUAACUAAAUUAAUGCAGCAUCGGCCUUCUUAAUUUCUCGAAUAUAAUGCUCACGCACAAUAUGAAAAUGGGAUGGAUAUUUUCCAUCCGUCCAAAAGAGUUCAAACGCUAAAUAGGUAGUCCAAAUCCUAAAUCUAAGGGAUUCAUGUACUAAAUGGAUAUUCCGUACCUGAAAUGCCAAAUCCAUAUAUUUAGGGAAAAGUCCUAUUUUCACCCUUCAACUAUGGCAGAAGUAUGAUUUUUAACCCACAACUACAAAAUCAGACAAGGACCAUCCAACUGUCAAAACCGGGCAAAUUUGACCUUUUGGGUGGUUUUGCAUUUUAUAGAAAAUAAAAAGUUCAUAUUUAAUUAAAAAAUCAUAACUAAUUUAUUUCAAAUCAGAAAAAAUAUCAAAUUGGUGCUAAACGUUUUCUGAAAAUGUAACCUAUUUGUAGUGUUCUAUUUGGCAUGAUUUAAAUCUUAGUUGUCCAUGUUCCUCGUUUUUUAUUACGAGCAAUAAAACACCAGGAAUAGUAACAAAUAUGAUGUAAACAACUCCAAAUAUAGUACCAACAAAUAGCCUAUAUUUUUAGAGAACUUUUGAUACCAACUUCAUAUUUUUUGGAUUUGAAAUGAAUUAGUUAUUAUGAAUUAUUUGAUUAAACUAAAACUUUUUAAAUUUCUAGAAAAUGCAAAACCACCCAAAGGGCCAAAUUUGCCCGGUUUUGAUAGUUGGAUAGGCCUCACUGUCCGAUUUUGUAGUUGUAGGUUGAAAAUAUGACUUUUUGCUAUAGUUGGAGGUGAAAAUAGGAUUUUCCCCCUAGAUUUAAUGUCCAAUACCAAGUUUGAAUCUGGAUAAUUAAAGUCAAAAUAUAAUAUAGAUAUGGGAUGGAUAUAUGAUAAUAUGUAAAUAAUGGCCCCAUACCACAUUUGGAUAGCUAUGUCCUCCACACCAAUUCUAAAAAUGUUUAAAAUUAACAUGAAAAAUUCAUCAUUAAGAUUUUAUCAUUACUAUAAAUUUUGAUAAAUUAAAAAUAAACCUAAAAAUACCAAAUUUAAAAUUUGAAGUUCACUAAAAUACUACAAAAAUUCAAAUAAAAUGAACUAGAGAAAGUCAUCGUUAAUAUUUUAUCUAGAAAUUUUUAUAAAUAAAAAAUAAACCUAAGAAUACCAAAUUUAAAAAUUUCAAGUUCACUAAACUAAAACAAAAAUUCAAAAUAAACGUAGAAAGCAAUAUGCAAUGCUAGGACCCAAACAGAAUAAUAUAUAUGUGUUUCUUGCAAGUUCUGAUCCAAUAGGUGGACCUCGCUCUCUCGUGCCCCGGCUAUCCGUGCCAUCCUAAUUAGUAAUAACUGAACUUCUCAACCAACUGUAAAUUCCCUUCUUGACCCUUUUUCCCUUAUCUUGAUAAAUAUUUUUUUUCCUUUCUUUGUAUAUAAAAAAUAAGGUAGGGGCUCCCCUCCUGAUUACGUCAAAAGAGAAAGAUAAAGUGAUUCCAUUUUGACUUGAACCAACAACGAAAUACGUGCGCACAGACGACUUUUCAAAUGGUGCAUGCAUGCCACAGACGAAACACGAAAGCAAUUAAGCGCGUGGUGGGUGGAUCCGUGGUCCCGUAGAUGUGACUUGUGAGCCAAUAGUGCAAUAGCCCAGUAACGAGCUGAACAAACUGGGCAUGUGCAUGGAGGCUAUUAUAUUAUUAGGAACAGCCCAACGAGGCCUAGAGCAAAACUCGAACACGAAGCCGUGAUUUAUUUAUUUAUGAGUUGAAUGAAGUUGAAGGUGGAUCCAUAUGCGGCAAAUCGUCCUGAUAUGCCGUAAUAACAAAUCCAUAGCUAUUGCACUAUUCCGAACCCUCUUUCUUUUCCCAAAGCUACAGUAGAGAGGGACGAGUUCCGAGCGAUUCUCGAUCCCGCACCCGUUUCUCGCCGAUUCUUCUCUUCCGACGGCGUUGCCGGCGUCGGAGGUGAAGGGAAUCGGCUCGAGAAGCGGGUGUGGUCCUGUAUAUCUGCUAGUUAUAGGUUUAGCUUAGUACAUUAGGUUGUCCCGCUGUCGGUGCCUGCCGGUGGCUUUAAGUUUCUUCUGUUGUUGACGCUCGCUGGCGGUAGUUCGGAUGGUUCCGGUGGCUCUUUGUAGCUGGCUAGUUCUUUUGUCCCUCCAGGCGAUUUCCGGUGGUGGCAACGAUGACGAAGCCUUCCUCGGAGAUGGAUCUGUGAGGUUUGUCUAUUCCCUACUCGAGAAAUCAGGUUGGUUGCUUUCCCUUUGGGUUUCUUCCUCGCUAGGAGUUUGGGAUCAUCGGCAAUGCUUGUGGUGUCUGAUCCCUUACUCUUAGCGAAGAUUUGCCUGGGCGUUUAGCGAUUUAGUGCACAUCUUGUGAUGUGCCGACUCACGUGGCUUCAAAAAUGUAUGGUGCUUCUUUGGAAGCUUCUUCGUGGAGGUUGGAUUCGGCUUCAAGAUGUAAUCUUGGCGUGGGGUGGUGGCUCCAUUCUCCAGCGACGAAUAUGACCGGGAAGAGAUCUUUACAAGGACCGGAAUGUAAUUUUUGUUUUAUUCAAGGGUAUCUUUGUAAAUAUGUAUGUGUAAUCUUUCAUAUGAAUCAAUAAAAUGCAACCUGGUUUUCUAAAAAAAAACGGCUAUUGCACUAUUCUAACUCCAAUACAUAGCAAUCCAUAGUCUCCUUUAUUUAUAUAUGCAUGGUCUCUUCUCAACUCCCUCCAAUCCAUAGCAAGAGACUAUUCGAUUUGAUAUGCGUAAUAAAAUUUCUCCAGUGUUUUGCCCUAGAAAAAGCUUCGGCUACCGUAUACCUCUCACUCCAUCCUACAUUAUAGCUCGUUUUAAUUUUUAUAGGUUAAUAGUUUUUACUAUAUGUCUAGAUAUUACUAUAUCUAAAUACAUAGCAAAAUCUAUGAAUCUAGAUAAGCCAAAACGACAUGUAAUUUGAAAUCGAAAAAGUAGUAUUUAGGUCGGGAGGUGUAUUAAAGUGACAUGCAUAUAAUUGAAAGCUAAUAUAUAGUAUCCCUAUUAGAUUUACGAAAGUGAUAUGCAUAGUAGCUUUAAGUAUCUCAAAAGCUAAUGUGCCUGUAGAUAUGAGAAAGUGAUGAGGUAGGCUUUUCAAAGCUUAUCACUUACUAGGUUAGAUAUAUGAAAGCAGCUUUGUCUCCAAACUUACUUUUGUGUAUUGUAUUUUGCUAUGGUAUUAUGGGUAUAUAGUGACGGAGAUCAAUGAUUACAGCUGUAUCCCGAAGGACCGUGUCCAUCACAAGUCGUCCUCUAUAUUGAAACCAUGGACGGGAUCAGGACGACUAAAACGUGGGCACUAGUUGUUUGCUUUGUUUGGUAUAGGCAAAGGAAAAGAAAGACAGUCCAUGCAAGCAAAGAUCAAUCCACCAUCUCCGCAAGGACAAAUCAUUAGCUAGUAUGAAGUUUCAAUUACACUGAGUAACCUGUGGGAAGAAGCUUCCAAAAGUUUGACAGAGAAAUGCCAGGUCAAACUGCCGUGCACUCAUGCUAAAGUCUGCAGAAAGACCAUUUCAAUCCACGCAGUCUUGGGGACAGAGAAAUGCUCAGGUCAAAUUGCCAUGCACUCAUAAGUCUGCAGGAAACAGAACAGGUGGUUCGCCUCUGAAAUCAUAUGCUAUAAUAUUCGGUUUCGACCUCGUGCGCAGCCGGGAUGGGCCUCUUCUCGACGCGCCGCCAUGACCUCCAAAGAAAAAUUCUUGAGGUGAGUUUAAACAUAUAGAAUGCAGGUUCGGUUUGGAAUUGGAAGAAUUGUAACAAAAAGAAACGGAGAAUGCCGGCGAUUUAGAGAAUUAAAGACAAACAUGUGCUCCGCGAGAGGCACAUGCAUGUACAUUUCGUAAAUAAAACGUUCUAAACAUGCAAGGAGAAAGAGCCUGGCCCGCACUAUCGAAAACAAAAAUCCAUGCGUGCUGCUUCGGAACAAAGAAGUCCGUCCAAUAAAUCCAUAUGGAAUGUACGAGUCUUUGGCGUCCAAUAUUUUUUAGUGUUUUUUCUCAAAUCGCCAUAAACUGUUAAGUAUGAGCUAUGUUACAAUGAUUGUUUUCCUCAAGUGGCAUGAGGCUUUGUAGUCCAAUUUGGACAACCCAAGGAGAAUACAAAUUAGCAACAAAGAAUCCUAACCAACAUUUUGCAAUAAAAAAACCGUCAUCCACCCAGUAAAUAAUCCUCACAAAAUAUCUUUAGUAGAGUAAAAAACCAUUGGCUAUUUUAGAAAAUUCUAAAAAAACAAUAGAAGUCAAUCAUUUGUAAAAUCACUCGAAAAAAAGUUAUAAGCUACUAGUGUAAUUUGGAUCUUAUGAAAAUAUCCCAUGCGUUUGUAUCUUUCUCAAAAAAAUUAUGCUUGUUGCCUCCUCUAAGGCUUUUUUCCCCCCUUGAGUAGGUGGGUUUGUCUUGAGAGAGGCUGCACUACCUAUUGCUUCGCAGGGAAAUCACUGCUAGAAAAAUAUUCAAAUAUACCUCUAAGAUUAGAAUUAGUCAUCAGUCUCCGCUCGCAAUAGAAGCCGACAACGAUAAUUCUCCUAAGUAUUAUCCAUAGGUGCGGAUACCUCGAAGACUAUCUAUGGUUCCAGCUCUUGCUGCAAGCCAGCACUUGCCGAUUCCUAACAAGAGCCAUCACGGAUAGUCCGAUCUACGUAUAAACCAGUUACCAGUUUCAGUUUGUGUUUGUUUGGAAAAUUCAUAACGUUCUGUGGAAGAUCCAUAACUCAGACAAAACUUGGGCUCAUGUCAUCAAACUUUUUCCAUGUAGGUAGGCUGUCGAAGCCCAACCGAUGACCCAUCAAAACCUGGCUGGGCUCAUCUCGAGAUGAACAUGAGCAACUCAUUUCAUCAGACCCAACAAUUUUGUAGAUCCAGGCCCAUGGGUGCUAGCAUAAGCUCGGCCCAGAGAUAGCUAAGAUGAACCAAGUUGGGCCGGAUGCACGUUGGGCCACACAUAGCGCAGUUAGCGCUUUGUCAGAUUUCUUUACGAGGAGAGGCGGUCCGAUCACAAUCCGAUCAAACUAUCCCUCUCCAUAUUAUCGAACUGAACACAUACGCUAAGUGCGUAUAAUCCUAUGUGGGGGGACCUCAGUUUGGGAGGAUCAACGCGGAAUAGGGGGCGCAGAAAGCUCGAUUCGAACAGAGAAGAAACGGAAAAGCAGCAGCGGAAGAAGUAACCUAGGGACUUCGUGCCUCCCUGCAAUGAUGCCCACUUGGGCUCCUAACUCCUAAGCAUCAUUGCAGGUGCUCUUCUAAUGUUGCCCUCGCAUUAACCAAACCAGUCAGCCAUAGAAAUCUUCAUCUCAACAGUUCGAGAGGAAUGAGAAGCUUCAGGACUUCAGGUGGUUUAUGGAGUAUAUAUCAUACAGCCACUGGAGUACUAUCUGUCAACAGCACAUUGGACAUGGGAGUGUGCGAGCUUAGGUUUUCCCUAAGAUAUCCGGAUCCUUUGCUCGUCUUCUGUUAAGAAGGGAAAAGUACCAAGUUAGCAAGUGGCAGGCGCUCGAUCCGAUAGACCGAUACAUAGGAAUAGGAGGCAGUGAUUGCAAGAGAGCCUGGUGCAUGAGGAGAAAAUUAACAAUGCCCAAACCAUGAUCAAAUGCAUACGCUUAUAGCCUGUUGAAAAAUGAAAACCAGUGCGCCUUCAGUUUCGAAGCCCUGUGCCCCUGCAGGUCGCCACGGUCAAACGGCUUUCUUUUAUCUUUUACUGAAACUCUCAGCCACAGGCAACUACUGCAGCUUCUCACUUCGCUCACUCUCCAGAAAGCCAUUGAUGUAAUUUAACUCUUUGCUGGUAGUGUGGCUAUCGUCCUCAGCAGUCUCCUCAUCAAACCCAGCGAGCUUCUCAAAUACGUCCUGUUCUUCUGACUCGCUAUGGGAACUAUAGAGCUGCACACCCAUCUCCUCAUCAGAGUCAUCAGACUGCUGAGAGGCACCUGCUUCUUCCGUCUCCUCGCCUGAACCAUAGAAUUUUUCAGGGUCACUAUCUUCGGUCAUGUCUUCGCAAUAAUCAGAAGGAGUGUUGCACUGUAGGACCUGAUCACGAAGCACCAAGUAUGAGAAUUGUGUAAAACAAAACAACUAAAAACACAUCGGACAGAUAAACAAAAGGACAACCUUUGCCUUUAUUUUGUUAGCAGCAUUCUUCAGAUAUUUCUCGCUCGCCCUCCUACCAUGGCAGGGCAAACAAAACUGGUAUACCAAUCCAAGAUUCCCACACAGAUAUUCAACAUCACCUGAAAGGUUCCACAGCCAAAUGUCACCAAAAAAGGAAAGGAAACAGAGGACCGCCGGGGGGGGGGGGGGGGGGGGGGUGGAGUGCAUCUGAUCCCAAACAAAAUAACAAAAUACAUAGUAACAUACCAUGAGAAUAACUGGCUUCUGGAAGAAUUACAAGUACAAGUGAGCCUUUCCCUGUUUUAAGGUGACCGAAGAAUUCGAAUACAGUGAACAAACCGGCAUUGAUAUCAGUCUAUCGAGAUGAGUUUAUAUGUAUCAACAUUUCUGGAUUCGGGCUUAAAUCCUGCUAAUCAGUUGUGUAUAGACAAAGUAAGAUGUGCUAUAUAUGAUUACUUGAAUGCCUUAGUCAAGGGAGGAGAGCAGAACGUUACCACUCCAAUGCACAUGCACAUAUUUCCAACCUUAGAUAAGAACCUGAGUGACUCUUUGCCACUUAUGCGUGAAAAAUUCACACACGCCCAGGUUUUUACAUUAGCAGUUUUAGCCUAACAGGAGAAAAAUGCAUAAAUGUGAGAAUGUUGUUAUAAUAUAGCAACAUGACAGAUAAAAAGCUAGUACGACUGAUAAAAGAGAUGCAUGAUAGUAAGAAUGAUCAAGCACAUAUCAUGUUAAAUUAGGGAUAAUUUUUGUAAUUCAAUUUAGAAUGAGUGGUUGUACAUUAGGAACCGCUUAAAACUCGGACAGCAUAAUCAUUCUCAAACAACAUCAUUCGAGUUUAUCCGCCACUGCCAUAGUGUGGCAUGCAUAGUAAAUACCAAAGACGCACAUAAAUUAAGUAUUGUUAAAUGGAAUCAGACAACUAUAUCAUAUAAGUGUUUCAGACAGAUAUUGUCAAACCAAAUUCCGCAGGAAUUUAUGUUUUGGACGCGAACAACAAGCAAGAUCGGAUCUCAAAUGUAACAAAAUAGUACUAAACAGUCUGCAAUACCUGUGGGAUGGCAUCAGUUAUUGUGGUGAAACCCUCAGCUGGCAAUAGCUGCUGCUCACUCGCUUUUCUAUCUGGAGAGCCACUAAUAUGGCCUGCCUCGGGUUUCUUCUCUUCAGAACUGUAUUCCCUUGACUCACUGUAGGAACUACAGAGAUGUGUAGAUUCCAUCUCUUCAUAGUCAUAGCCAUCAUCUUCUCUCAUCUCUUCGUAGUUGCAGGCAUCAUGUUCUCCCAUUUCUUCGUAGCUGUAGGCAUCAUCUUCUCCCCUCUCUUCGUAGAUGUAGCUAUCAUCUCCUCUCAUAACCGUGCAAGAAUCAGAAAGUGUAUUGCACUCUAUGACCUGAUUAAAAAAAUGUAAGCAUGAGAAUUGUGCAAAUAAAAAAUAAAAACGCAAUAAAACAUGAAAGCUGAUAUUACCUUGGCCUUUAUUUCAUUAGCAGCGUCCUUCAGAUAUUUCUUCUUCAACAUCCUAUCAUACAGGGGCAAACAACAAUGAUAUACAACUCCAAUUUUCUUACAGGUCUCUUCAACUUUGUCUGCGAAGUUGCACAUGCGACUAUCACAACAAAGAGAAAAAGAAAGGUGCGUGUGCGUCGGAUAUAAAAAAUGCUUCCAUACCAUCUGAAUAUCUGGCAUCUGGCAGAAUUACAAAUAGAAAUCUUGCCUCGCCUUUCUCCAUUUCAUGGUGAUCGAAGAAUUCGUGCACUCUCCGCAAACCGUUUGCUAUAUCAGUGAGACAAGGAUUGCUCAUAUUCACCUGGUUGGCUCCAGACUAAAAUCCUACUAGGUUGAUAAUCAAAAUCAAAUGUGUCAGUAUGUGAUUAUUUGAACGUGUUAGUCAUCAAGGGGAAGAGGGCAAGGCUUUACCAUUCCAAUGUUGACGAACGUUCUACCAAGAGAACGUAAGAACCUGAGCGAAUCUUCACCACCUAUACAUUUACACAAGCCCAGCUUUUUACAUUUGCACUUCUAGCCUAAUAAUAUGAGGAAAAUGUUAAUAUGGGAAUGCUGUUAUAGUAUAGCAGCAGGACAGAUAAAAACUAAUACGAAGGAGAGUUGCAUUACAGUAAGAAUAACUACUCAAGAAUAACUACUUAGAGAUAAUUUGUACUAGAAUGCAUGAUUGUACACUAGAAUACUAGAUACAACUUGAAACACCAAUGGCGUAUAUAACUCAUUCUCACAACAUUAUUUGAGUGCACUUGGCACUGCAUAGCAAGUAGCAAAGAGGCAAAUAAACAAAGUAUUGUUAGAUUGAGGAGACCACAGAACUGCACCCAACAGAUACUUUCAAACAGAAAAAAGUAGUACUCAGAUUUUCUCUUAAAAAAGUAACUGAUGUGGCCUGCCUCAGAUUUUCCGUAACUCGGAUUGUCUCUAAAAAAAGAAGUACUCAGAAACAAUGAUUCAUUUUCGUUGGGAGCAGCGAGAAGGGAUCUUCAAUGUUCCAACUUACAGCGUGCAAUACCUGUAGUUUGGCGUCAUUUGUCGUGGUGAAACCCUCAGCAUCCCAAUCCGGAGAGUAACUGGUGUGUGGCCUGCCUCGGGCUGUUCUCUUCAGGGGUGCCGUUACCGUACCCUGCGGAACUCUCAUUCUCUACAUGAGCAACAGCUGGGUCAGAGUUACUGUAAGCAGAGGCCCUGUCCUCCACAGGCUUUUUGCUACUGAUCUGCCGUUCUUGCAUUGCAUCAAUGUCUCCCAUGGAGAUGGUAAAAUACGGUGGAGGAAAAAAAAAAUUAACCGGGGCACAAGCUACCGUCGCCGGGACGCAGCACCUCUGGGAUCCCCAUCGUCGACGCCGCCGUCUCACUCGUCGACCGCACCGCUCUAGGCUUUGAAUUCGUGGGGAAUUUUCCUGCGUUUGUGUCUGCUUUCUGAUUUAUAUAGGGUUCGGAUUGGUGGUGUUCUCCUCCUUGGCCUCCGAGUAUCUGGAGAAAGUAAUCCAACUUCACGGAAUAAGCGCGCGAAAAUGGAAACAUCCCGAGUACAAACAAGUUGAACUGUUGGAGUUGGAGUCGAUCUGAAUGAGUUUCGGUUUCGACGGAAGAAAUCGGGCAAUACCGCAAUAGUGACUGUGUUUGCGCUGGGAUUGAAAGGGCUGAUGGACUAAGAUAUUUCCGGUUCCCUGGGCUGGGCCAAAUCAAAUUUUGACAUAGCACGUAGCAACGCAAGGCCCACUCUUCCAUCGGCCCUUUUUCAUUCUCAGCCCUCGGCUUCGUCAGAUUUCUUUACGGUAAGAUUAGAGACACGAUCCGAGGCAGGCCAACGCAACCAUCUUUAUUCCUCCAAUGUUACGUAUAUUCUAUAUAGAACUUCAACACCUACUCAUGGUGAUAUGGAGUAUAAUCGCAAGAGACCUUUUCUGUGGGGACCUGAACCUGAGCUCGGGUGAACGAUCGAUCAAUGCAGGAGGGAGCCUCGAUUCGAACCAAGCGGGAACGGAAAAGAAGCAGGCUAGGUGCCAUCCCGCAAUGAUGGCCACUUGGUCUCCUAACCAUGAUGAUUACAGGUGCUAGACCUGAGAAACAAUCUUCCAGAACCCGGAUGCCUGCAGACAAGCCGAGGCAGAAGCAGAAGCGCCAUAGACUACUAGUCGCCAUCUUCGCUAACCGAUGGAAUGGUCCAGUGAAGGACCAGAAAGCUAAUUAAGCUACAUGUGUUUGAGUGUUUCGUGGUCUGAGAUUUUGCAAUCAGCUAGGUCAAACCCACCCUCGGCCGGAGACCGGCAGGUUUCAGGUCAGCUCCCCUCGCGUUGGACACGGUGGCUUUCAUUAGCCAUGGGACUCGGAGCUCUGAUUUUCCUGAAAUGGCCGGAUCUUCUGGCAAGCCUCCCCUGUUAAAAAGGGGAAAGUUCCAAGUGGCAGGCGCUCGAUCCGAUACAUGUACUACAUAGGUGGCAGUGAUAGCAAAGAGACAAAAGAUCCUGAUGCAUGAGGAGGUAUUAACAAUGCCUUAGGGGCUGUUUGAUACGAGGUGCUAAACUUUAACAGUGUCACAUCGGAUGUUUGGAUGCUAAUUAGGAGGACUAAACAUGAGCUAAUUAUAAAACUAAUUGCAGAACCUUGUGCUAAUUCGCGAGACGAAUCUAUUAAGCCUAAUUAAUCCAUCAUUAGCAAUGGUUACUGUAGCACCACAUUGUUAAAUGGGAACAAUUACAUGUGCGGAGGUGCAGCAAGUACUACCUCCGUCCCUAAAUCUAUAACAUUUUCAUUUUUUUAGUCCUAGUAUGCAAGAUUAGCCAAGUGCGAGUCUACACCGCAAAUACAGAUACCGUUUCCCUUUCCCAAAAUUGUUUUAAUGUAGGCGACCACACAACUUGCCCUCCACAACUUGCCAUCCACACAUGCUCCAUAUGCCUGCACCUAAAUUACUGAAUACUGAGAUACACACUCGAUCAUCUGAUCAAAUAUAAUCAAGUGUAGCUCGAUCGCUAAGCCAGGCCGAUGCACUCUAUUUAAACCUAGCAAGGAACUUAUAGCGAAGCAAACACAUCUCGGAACACAUAGACUACAACUAGAACGAUACAGCCUGUGUGUGUGUGUGAGAGAGAGAGAGAGAAUGGCUGCUGGCUCUCAGACUAUCAUAGCUCCCACAGAUGCUGAGCUCCUGCAGGCGCAUGCCGACCUAUGGCGCCACAGCCUCUACUACCUCACAUCCAUGGCGCUCAAGUGAGCUGUCGAGCUUCACAUCCCAACUGCUAUCCAUACCCUGGUUGGGGCCUACCUCGCUGCCGNNNNNNNNNNNNNNNNNNNNNNNNNNNNNNNNNNNNNNNNNNNNNNNNNNNNNNNNNNNNNNNNNNNNNNNNNNNNNNNNNNNNNNNNNNNNNNNNNNNNUCCGUGCAUUAGUUUUGUAAUUAGCUUAUGUUUAGUACUCCUAAUUAGCAUCCAAACAUCCGAUGUGAUAGGUGUUAAACUUUAACAGGUGUUUCCCAAACACCCCUUUAAUCAUGAUUAUAUGCAGAGGCUACGCUUUAACCUGUUGAGAUAUAGUAGCUCGAGAUUGUGCACUGAAAGCAGAGCGAAAUGUUUACUAUUGGUAAUCCGAGCGCAGAAAAGCAAAUUUCAAAACACAUCUCGGCAUCGCACUAGUGUGUUUCCAAAUUCGAAUUCCUGAUUGAGGUCACACAAAAGUUGUGCUAAUAAUACAAUAACUGAAACUUGUGCUAGAACGAAAAAUAGUAAUAUUUUUUAGUCCUUAGGCUAUCCACACCGCCGAAACCCCAUCCCAAUCUCUAAAGGGGCAUGGCCCACCCGUCAGGUUUGGGUAUAGAGGUGUGUAAAAAAAAUUGCUGCCCCACGGACACCUCUAUCCCAAUCUCCAUCGCCUUCCUCUGCUCGCGUCCGUCGCGUCCUCUUCCCUCCCUCCGCGUGCCGGCGGCAGCCUCCUCCCUCCCUCCAUGCGCCGGCCCGACCUCCUCCCUCCCUCCGACGCGGCGGCCCGGCCUCCUCCCUCCGCGCGCUGGCGGCCUGCUCUCCCUUCAGAGCGAGGAUAGCGUUCGGUUGCUGGCCUCUGGAUUUGGAGGUACACUGUAGCAAUCGGUAGGAUAGGGAUUGAUUUACAGGUGUGCGGUGCGGGAGGAAAAACUCUAUAUUUGCGGUAGCGGGUGAUUUAGAGCACUGCGAUGCGGAUAGUCUAAGGCCUACACUUGUUGGGCGCAGAAGAUACACACCUGACAGCCCAAGGGCCAUUUUUUUUUUGCUCCCCUAGUUUUCCUUCUUCCGGACCACGCACUGCCUGCCGUCUUUAAUUUAGUGGCGGAAAGGUAGGGUUGUUCAAACAAAGGUGAUCCACUCCAUUUAACAAAGCAAGUACACUCAAGCAUUAGCCCGCCUAACCUUAGCCGCUAACGAAAAGACGCCGAAAACGCUAGCGAAAUCGAUCACAGUAGUACUCCUACACACUAGGUCGUCGAUAUAAAGAAUCUCGAUAACCUAUAGCGUGUAGCUGAAAUCCACUACUUUUGCCUGCAACUUUUGAUCCAUGGCAUGGUUCAGUAAACCGGAAGAUGAGGAGGAGGAAGUGGAAAUUCAGCUGACCAUUGUACUGCUGCGACAAAGAACAUGCAUUAACUGGUAGUCUGGUACGGCGUGCCAGCCCAGCCCUGCAACUAGGUAGGAGGCCCAUCCCUGCUCAUCUGAUCCCCACCACAAACCCUGCAAGAUCCUACCAUUCCUGAGCUGAGCACGCCCGUCUUGACUUCUGCACGGCCACCCUGGUCCCUCUUUCACAUGCCCGAUUCCAAUCGCAGUCCUAAUCCCAAUUCAAGACCUUUGAUGCGGCAGAGAGCCUUCGUUCAACCACUCAAAACCAUGGUCUUCAUUCAAUUUGCAGAUGACCUGAGAUCAGAAUUCAUCAGUGAUGUAUGCAUUACAGAUUUACAGCUGCACUGCAAAUUUACUCAUUCCCCUCACUCAGUCACUCCUGACCAAACCUGAGGACUGAGGACACCUCAAAUUAGGAUAUUAACUGGGUGAUUAGCAUCUCAAUUAAAAUAUCAGAGAUAUUGCAUCUAAGCAUUCCCUUCUCUCUCCUCCCCCAACCACCUCGCCAUGAUAUAAGUAGAGCCACCACACCAGAGGGCCAUUUCCAAGGGCUCUACACGAAGUUAGGCGGCCAAAGUGUUCGUAACCAAUUAACCCCCUCUUCCCCAGUGAAAGUUUCAGACGCCCGUUUUAGCAAAGCGGGGCUACGGGAGCUCGGCCAGGAUGAAAUUUAUGAAACUUGGCACCCGGCCGGACACCUUCUUCACCUCCGAGGCCGUAAGGUUGUGUGAUUGCGAUCUUGCUCCUCGGAUUCUGCCUGCGUGUGUUCGUGGUGUUCGUGUUGUCUGAUUCCGUGGUGCCGUUCUGCGUCCAGGUCUGUCUCCACGGAGGUGGCCACCGACCUGCAGAUCCUGGUGGAUGGCUGCAUAUAUCAUCUCCACAAGGUAAUUAAUCGAAGGAGCAGAGAUUAUUUCCCCCCUCUAUCAUCGAAUGAGCAUUUGUUGCGAUUUUGUUUCUGGGUUUUCUUGAUCUUGAAUGCAAUUCUGAGAUUCUUGGUUCUUUCUGGCAUUGUGUUGUUCGUGAAUGCCGCAGUUCCCUCUGCUCUCGAAGUGCAUGCUCCUGCAAGCGCUCUGCGCCGACUCCGGCGCCAGUGUCGGCGGCGACGUCGUCGAGCUCCCGGGCUUCCCGGGCGGCGCGGAGGCGUUCGAGGCCUGCGCCAAGUUCUGCUACGGCAUCACCAUCACGGUGAGCGCGCGGAACCUCGUGCCGCUGCGGUGCGCCGCCGCGCACCUCGGCAUGUCGGAGGCCGCCGACCGGGGCAACCUCGCCGCCAAGCUCGACGCGUUCCUCGCCUCCUGCCUCCUCCGCCGCUGGAAGGACGCGCUGGGCGUUCUCCACUCCACGCGCCACUACGCCCCGCUCUGCGAGGACCUCGGCCUCACGUCCCGCUGCGUCGACUCCGUGGCCGCCCUCAUCGUCAACCCGGACACCGUCCUGCCGGCGAAGUCGACGUCGGCGUCGCCGUGGUGGGCGCACGACAUCGCCGAGCUCGGCGUCGACCUCUUCUGGCGCAUCAUGGUGGCUGUCAAGGCGACCGGUGCCGUCCACGAGAAGACCGUCGGCGACGCGCUCAAGGCGUACGCGCGCCGGUGGCUGCCGAACGUCGCCAAGGACGGUCUCUCCGCGGACCAGCCGUUCGACGAUGACGCCGCCGGUAACACCGACGUGAAGCAGAUCACGACGAGGCACCGCCUCCUGCUCGAGAAGAUCGUGAGCCUGCUCCCGGCGGAGAGGGAUGCCGUCUCCUGCAGCUUCCUGCUCAAGCUCCUCAAGGCGGCCAACAUCCUGAGCGCAUCCGCCGCAUCCAAGUCCGAGCUGGUGCGGCGGGUGGCGUGGCAGCUCGAGGAGGCCGGCGUCGCGGACCUGCUCGUCCCGUCGCUGUCCUGCGUCAGCGAGACGCUCUACGACGUCGACGCCGUGGCGGCCAUCCUCGAUGAGUUCGCGCUGCGGUACGCGGCGGUGGCGCCGGCGCCGGCGCUGGCCCUGUCCGGGAGCCCCGACGACAGCCCGGUGCACUCGGGCGGGCACCGGCGGUCGCGCUCGGCCGAGAGCGUGAGCUUCGACGGCACGCGGCGGUCCUUGUCGGCGGCGCCCGUGUCGCAGGGCGCGCUGGCGCGGGUGGGCAAGUUGGUGGACGGGUUCUUGGUUGAGGUGGCCAAGGACCCCAACAUGCCGCUGGACAAGCUGCUCGCCAUUGCCGAGGCCGUGCCAGACAGCGCCCGGCCGGAGCACGAUGGCCUCUACAAAGUCGUCGACACAUACCUCAAGGUGAGUUCUUUGUUUUCGUUACUCCUGCAUUUCCAUGGUUACCAAAAUCUUCACUUUGGAUUAUGUGAAACUAGUCUUCUUGGAUUAUUAAAGUUUGCAUUAAUCUAGUGAUUAAUCUUUGCUUUUUUGGGGGUUAACUUUAGGCGCAUCCGGAGAUGAACAAAAGCGCGAGAAAGCGGCUGUGUCGGGUGCUCAACUGCCGGAAGCUGUCGGAGAAGGCGUGCGCGCACGCGGCGCAGAACGAGCUCCUCCCGCUGCGCGUGGUCGUGCAGGUGCUCUUCUUCGAGCACGCACGCGCCGCGGCGUUGGCGUCGGGCGGGCGCGGCGACGCCGCCGCCGCCGCCGCGGCGGAGCUGCCGAGCAACAUCCGGGCGCUGCUGUCCAAGGCGUCCGGGUCGUCGGAGGACGACGAGGCCGACCGCGUCGACGAGCAGCGGCUGCGCGCGCUGGCCGCCGGGGCGUCCCCCGGCGACGACUGGAGCGUCGAGGGCCUCCGCCGCGCGGCGUCCAAGAUCGCCACGCUGCGGAUGAAGCUCGCCGAGGAGGACGAGGACCACGACGCCGACGAGUUCGCGCGGAAGGCCGGGCUGGCGCGCAGCGCGUCGCUGCGGUUCAGGGCGUUCUGUGCCAUCCCCGCCGGGAAGCCCAAGCGGGUGCUCAGCAAGCUGUGGCCGAUCGGCAGGAGCGGCGUUAGCCAUUAACAGCCAGUCAUUAUUAGCUUCUCUGAUCUCCUGUUUUUGUUUUUCUGAGGGUGAUUUGUUUGUCUCUUCUAGUACUCCUACAUCUUCUUCUUCUUUCUCCUCCUCUUUCCAGUUACAGUUCCAAGGCAAAUUGUACCUUGCAUAGUUGCAUGUAGUUGUAAUUCCAAUGGUCACAAUAAAAAAAAUAGAAAUUGCACAGGCUACUUGCUCAUCUUAUCUGAAACCUGAUUGAUCUUUUAAGCUCGAGUGGCAUCGAUGAUCGAAUCAUUGCUUGCCAAUUGCCACACUCUAUUCUCCGUGAUUAUGAUGCGAUGGUGAUGAUUUCAGCGCCUCACAUUUCAUAGGACACUACACCCAAGCGAGUCCAUGACCAAGCGCCAUCUUAAUUUCUUUGUUAAUCCAAGCAGCAGCCUGUGAUUGCCACCCACUUGGCAAAUUAUUUGCAUCUCAACGCUCAGUGAGUAAACAAAAGGGGAGACACGAACAGGCAUGGAAUCGAGAUCGAAUCGAACACACAUACACACACACAGCGCGGCAGGCAGAUAUUGCAAGUGUUUUCUUUUUUGCUUUUUACCUGAAAGAUCCCCUUUUGUUAGGCCGCGUGUGGGAGGGCGGAUAUAUACGGCAUGAUGAUGGGAUGAUAGGACCUUCAGCUCGGAUUGCUGGGUCAGCAACCACUGAACAAGAACAGGUCAGCAUGGGCGCCUUUCCCCCCCAGCCAUCGAUGACAAUGUUUUAGCUUGUAGCUCAUCACUAGCAUGGGCCGGCUCAUCCAGAUCAGCCUCCUGGCCCCAGCCUUUUUUGUUCCAAAACAUGUGUCACGUCCUGAGAGAAAAAUUUUCUCAAGCGCAGGGUGCAGCAGUACAGCAAUCAGUUAAGGUGGCAUUAUUGCUCUUUUUGCUACUCUGAAAAAUUAAAAGGGGGGUGUCUAUUUUUUUUUCUGCGAGGAUAAAUAGGAACUAUUUGGAACAUGGGGAAGAACACGCCAUAUGCAUGCGCCUUGUCAAUGAGUAUUUUUCACAAAGCUCACAAAGUGUACAUCAUAGAAGCAUUUAUUUACUUUCGCAAAAAAAAAGAUUUGCGCUUUAAAAAAGUUCCAGAAAAAACAAUGUUCAUAUGUGUAGUGCGAGAAGAGGACAAACAUUUAUUGCAAAUAUGUAUGUUUUUUAUACAUAUGUGAAUGUUUUUGGAAGUUUGGAUUGAUGGCAGCGCCAGCCCUACCAAUAUUUUGAUCGUUGACUGUGAACUUAGUGUAUGUUUGGAUCGACGCCUGUGACCUGUCGUUGGCAAGCCAGCCCUCUUUUUUCUUUUUGCGCCAAUUCACGGACGAAUCCGUCACCGAUUAUUUGGCUCGCCUACGGAUUGGCAUUUGCUGUGGUCAGAAUCUGCACAAUAGAAAUGGAGCCUUAAAAGAACACAAUAUUAGGGCCGUGCUAUAUAGGAUCGAGGAACAAGCCGUGCAUGUAGUCCAAGCCGUCAGAUGGUGGACGAACGCUCCAGAUCGCCCAGGCUUCAAGAACCAAAUCUGCUACAAAUAUAGCUGUCCUGAACAAGCUUGCAGUUGCAUGCAUCCCAUCUUGCCAUCCAUCAUCCACACCUCUCUGCAACUGCUACUCGCACCAAACCGAGACAACCUCAGAACCACCACCUGACCUGCCCACGGCACCACCGCCACGCACGUACGCGCGCCUCUCUCGCCCGCCGGCCGGGACAGGACAGCGAUGGCGCACACGGGUGCUCGCCGGAAGACGACGCCGGAAUGGACAGGGACACGCACGCAGACGACGCAGGACAGGCAGUGACCUACUACUCUAAUAAAGCCGUGAGCCAGGCAGAUUAUCGACAGGCAGACAUGCGGCCAGCCAGCCAUCACACCAAGAUAAAUCGCCAAUCAGCCGAGGAGGAGCCCUCGGCAUUAAGCCAUCCAUGCAUGCAUGGAUGAUUCGAUCUCUCAUCCUCCUCCUCCGUCUCCAGGUGAUACGCGCGAUGUUGCAACAGUGCCGUCUUCGCUGGGGAGUGAAUGAGGAGUUCCAGGACCACAGGCACGAGGCAUCUGGUGUGUCGAGACGGCGUGGCUUCUGCCUCCUGGCCAUGGGAGGGAAGGGGAUUAAACAUCUCGAUCUGACACUGUUCGGCAGGCAGAUCCGUGACACGCCAGGGGGUUAAGCUCUUAACCGUUUCUUCCCUGGAUCUGAAUAACCGUUUCGUUGGAGAUCCCUGCGAUCGAUGUGCAUUGGCAUCCCGCUGGUGGAAAUGGUAGCUUCGGUGACAAACGGUCCGCCUUUUUUUUUUAAGCUCUUUUCGUGAAAGAUUCUCACAAAUAGACUCCUGGCGGAACCAAUUUCAAAAAUGGACCCUUAGCUUCACGCCAGCCAUCCUGGCGCCAAGGUCCAUGCGCAGCUGCUGACGCGGAUGCUGAUUUGGCGGGGGCUUGGCGCCAUCCAUCAUGGCGCCAAGCCUUGGUGCCGUGGAUCUUGGCGCCAAGCUUGGCGCUGUAGUUCUUGGCGCCGAGCAAUUUACCCCGUAGCUCUUCGUGUUUCAAACUAAACAAGUAUAAUUAUUCCGAGGAGUGUGUAACAAAUUAUGUUGCGGUUCAACUGGUUAGGAUGUGGGCUUCUUCUCCUAGAGACUAAGUUCAAACCCUUGCGUUGAAUCUUUUUUCUCUAUUGUACAGGUAAACAAGCGGUGCAACUUUGUUUUACGAAAUCUCAUAUCCUAGGAUAAUAUAGUUCGUGGAGUUUGUACAGUGCAGAACAAUUCAAAACUCAUGCUCUUCUAAUUCUUGUGUCAGGUUACCCUCGAUGUGGCUCUUCUAAUUCUUGUGUCAGGUUACCCUCCCUUCCAAAUUAAAAAAAUAAAAUGUAGAAAAAAAUUCAACACAAGGGUUUGGACUCGGGUCUCUAGGAUAAGAAGCUCACAUCCUAACCAGUUGAACCACAACUUAGUUUGUUGCACACUCCUCGGAAUAAUUAUACUUGUUUAGUUCGAAACGCGAAGAGGCACGGGGUAAAUUGCUCGGCGCCAAGAUCUACGGCGCCAAGCUUGGCGCCAUGAUGGAUGGCGCCAAGCCCCUGCCACAUCGGCAUCCAUAUCAGCAACUGCGCAUGGACCUUGGCGCCAGGAUGGCUGGCGUCGAGACGUUGUAGCUUGGCGCCAGCGUGGAUGGCACCAAGCUAAGGGUCCAUUUUUGGAAUUGGUUUCGCCAGGGGCUAUUUGUGAAAUUUUUUCGCGAAAAGGGCUAAAAUAAAAAAAAGUCGGACAAACGGUUUUCGUCACUAUGAAAGCUAAAUUUGUCACAAAGGAAGGUUUGCCACGAAUUUAUGACGAAUUUCAGCUCGUAAAAAAUGGAACGUCAAGUUUGUACUUCUAUGACGAACUGCCAAAAACGUCGUGGAACUGGUUCUAUUUGUGACAAAAAAAACUUUCAUCACGGAACCAUAUUUCAUUCUAUGACGUGUCAUAAAAAUGUCACUGAACUUUCAGAUCCACGUGUCCCCGUCCACACUGGCAGGUGAUAUGGCACCGUCCACACUGGCGGGUGACGUGUCUCGGACACGCUGGCACCACAGGUGACGUGUCGGGCCGCACGUGAAAAAAGAGGACAACCACGUGGCUAGCUAGCAUAAGGUGACGUGUCGAGACACCGCAAGUGCACGCGUCAUUAUUCUAUUCACCCAUAUGUCGCCAUCUUGUGUUGACACGUGUCGACCUUUUAACUAUCCACGUGUCAGUUUCUUACGUGUCCACGUGUUAUUUUCCUGUAUGUCCAUGUGUCACUGUCCCUUUUGUCCACGUGUCCUUUCCCGGUUUGCCCAUAUGUCAUUUUCCCAUUUGUCCAUGUGUCAUGUUCCCGUUUGUCUACGUGUCCUUUCCCUAUUUGCCCACAUGUCUUAUUUCUAUUGGUCCACGUGUUCUUUCCGUUUGUCCACGUGUUAUCUUCCUAUUAACCUGUCUUUUUUUACGGUUUCACAUGUCGAUUCGUUAGUGUUACACGUGCCAUUUUACUAUUAGUCCACGUGUCAUUUCUGAUCAGUCCACGUUUGCAAUUUUAUUUAUGACGUGUUCUUUUUUGGCCCACAUGUCAGUUACCGAUUAUGGGACCACCACGUUCUGUUUUCUGGAUGUCACAUGUGUCCAUAUCAUACAGGUCCAUAUUCAUACAAAACCAUUUCAUCAAACACUAAAUGAUACAGCACAAUUCACAUAAAGUUCACUACAAUAAAGUUACAACCAAAUAAGUUCAUGACUCCACCACAAUUAGUUCACUGACAGUUCAGAACCACAUAAGUUCAUAACACAAGCACCAAAGGUCACGACGGAACGCCAAGUGCUGACAACAGUUCCACACACAUAGGAUCAGGGCUGAGAAGAGAUACCAGGGGUGUUCAGGUUCAAGAUCUUCAUAAGGAUGAACUAUCCAAGGGCUGAGAAGCAGUACCAGGGGCAUUCAGCAACAGGUUCUGCAUGCAUAGUUUCCAUUGACAUCUAGGACAUCCAAAAAUGAACUAUUAGUUUACAAAUUAUAGUAAAAAAGGAUUAUAUUCAACAAUCUGGGAACAAAAGCAGAUUGGAUAACUGCUACUAAAUAGUGUUAAAAUAACAUACCACUGAAAUACAGGGGCAACCAUGAAUAUUAAAACUACGUGAUGAAGCAUGUAUAGAAAAGUAUUGGAGAAAGGACAAAAGUAUAAAAGAAGGACCUACUAAAUGGUUUAAGAAUCAUGUAAGUUUGGUUGCAUAAAGAGAAACCUAAUGAACAUGGAUAGAAUUGUAGGGAAACAUGUAUAUUAUAUGGAUGCAGGUGAAAUGACCACGUAGAGAUUCAAUACUAGUACAGACUUGUUGAGCAUGGCAACCAAGAUAACUUAAAAUUCAAAACAUCGAGCAAAUUAGCUAUUGGAAAAGCAAAUAAGCAUGUACAGGGACUUACAAGUGCUUCUUUGUCAACUUGACCAUCAACCUGUUACUGUAGUGCCUAUUCUUUUUCUGUAGGCUUCUUCUUGUUCUGGACCUGAUGUUCCAAAAUGGUGGUCCUAAGUCAUUCCGACCGGUCUCAUCACCGCUAUUAUUUUCUACAACUGGUGGCAAUUCUUCUAGAUUUUUCACGUGGUCCUGAUAUUUGUAGCCUUUUCAGUAACCUUGUUGAAGCUCCAGGAGUGACAUCAGUUGGCGGGAUUAACCUCACCCUAUUGGAAUGUCUACCUCCAGGAGCCAUGGCACCACUUGUUUUCCUCUUCUUCGCACAGACCUUCCUACACCCAGUCCGCAUAGGGCCCUGCAGAUUUCAAAAAGUAGGAGUUGUAAGCAUGUGAACAAAUUAAAAGCACUUCUAAGCAUUGGAGAUAUGCAAUCCCUACAUUAGAAAUAUUUAGUGCUCCUACUAAGCAUUGGAAAUAUCUAGUGCCCUUCUAAGCAUCCCCCACCACCCGCCAGGAUAGAAGAUGCACCUCAAUUGCUAGGGUUUUCAGCUCCUCUAAGUCUGUAUCAUUGGGCCUGUUCGUUGCUGCUUUUUUGCAGCGACUUCAGUUGCAGUUGCAAGCCCAAGUAGCUGGAGCUGCUGCCCAGCCGAACGGCUGUCUAAGUACCUAUAACUUAAUAAAUUAUUCCUUCAUUUAUAUUGGAUCCUGCUAUCUUUUUUUAAUUGAGGCAACAAUCAAAAUGCUAUUGUGUGGGCCAAGUUAAGAGCUGAUGAUAAACCUCACUUGUUUUGAAGGUUCUAACAUGUGUAAACAAAUUUGAAGUAUUAGUGACCUAAGUUGAUUACAUAUUUGUGACUGGAAUUAGAAUACAGACCCACUACAACCUCCAACCCCAAACCACGGAUGAAUGUGUCACUACCUGGAACCACAGAAGGUAGAUGGAUUUUGCAUACCUCUUGCUGCGGGGCGUCGACAUUUGACCAUUGCCAAUCGUCAGGGUAGCUGCUCAUCGAGGAUGGUGAGGCUGCUACGAUGCAAUGGUCAUCGUUGACGUUGUAGAAAAUCUAGUGCAACGGGCGUCGCCGAAGGGGUAGCAGAUCCGGUGCGAUGGGCGUCGAAGGGGUAGCAUAUCUGGUGUGACGGGCAUCAUCAAAGUGGUAGCAGAUCCAGUGCGGCGGUCAUCGUCGACGGGGUAGCAGAUCCGAUGCGGCGGUUGUCGUUGACGGGGAAGCAGAGUCAGAGGGGUAGUAGAUCCGGUGCGGCGGUUAUCAUCGAUGGGGAAGUAGAUCCGGUCCGGCGGUAGUGGUUGACGGGGAAGAAGAUCCAAUGCGGCGGUAGUGGCUGAUGGGGAAGUAGCUCUGGUGCGCUCAGCGUCGUCGAUGAAGCUCCGGCGCGGUGGCCUUCGGUGGAGGGUAGGGGUCAAGUGUUGGCGUAGAGCUUAAAGGCGAGAGGUGGAGGGGAAAGGGUAGAGGUGGAGGUGGAUCUGAGCUAAGGGAUAGCGAUAUGGGGUGCAGGGGGAGAUUGUCACAAUUACCCUUGAUGGACGGGGUAGUGGCGUGUCUUUUGCUUGAGGGUACAAGGGACAUUUCGCGGGAAAUAUUUUCGGCUUUGGCGGUAGAGUUGGCGCCCAGUGAAAAUUUCGGACCGUGAUGUCCAACUGACCCAUGGGCCCCACAUGUCGGUGUUCUUGGAAUUCCUUAAGAAAAAAAUGAGCCUAAUACUCCACGUGGUAGCACGUGAUUGGCUGAGAGGCAUAAGAACUCAUAAAUAGUCCAUCUUGCUCUCUUUAAUCUGGAAUUGAAACUUGUAACUAGUUAUUUCUCCCUCAUAGUAACUCCGAAUUUGAUGAUUCUUUUUCCUAAUUUUAUCUAAGAACAUUUAAUGGUGUUUGUUUGCAAGUUAGCUACCAUUUCUAAGAUAUUUUACAUAUUGCUUAGUUUCUUACACCUAAGUAGAAAAAUAAACAAAUAAUUUUGCAUAACAAUUGCAAAUAUAACUUCAUAUUUCCUAAUACUAAGGUAAAUAUGAGGUUGUGUCUGAGGUGUAUAUGAGUUCAAAAGUAUUUUGAACUAUGCAAACCUGAAAGAUUGACUUAAGUUAUAGGAAACUAUGUUGGAGAUGUAUUCAUUUGUGAACAAUGUAUAAUCCCACUUUAUUAAAACUAUUUGAAUUUUUUUGACAAGUUUAUGGACCUAAAAUAUGUUGUUGUGUUAGUUUGUAGAAUUUUUUAACAAAAUUUAGAUAUUAUUAUAAUUAUUUUGUAGUAGCUUAGAAUUAGAUGGUUGAAUUAUCCAUAUUAAAUAGUUGAAUUUUGCAUCUAUCUAUAAGACUUGGGCUAUGAUGGUAUAUAUGAGCCUGAAUAUAUGUUUUUUGUAGACUUUUGAAUCUUAUUUAAAAUACUUUUGAAAAUACUUGUAACGAUAAAUAUGAUGAAUGUUUGUGUUAGAUGGGCCAAAAAUCUUACCGUGAGUCUUUUUAUACUAAGCCCGAUUUCUCCUAGCCGUUCAUAUGGACACCGACGAUUCAGACCGACUAUUUGAUGCCACGGCCUCUGGCGGUUGCCGUCCCGAUUCCUGUUCCCACACAUGUUUUUCGAGGAGCCGGUUGCCAUCCUCGAGAGGCGCCGGUUGCCUUCCCAUGACAGCCGGUGAAACUUCCUAUGGAAGGCGAGGACAUCCUUAUUUAAUUGCCAUUGCCCCCACCAUCUGCAUUGUCGCCAGUUCCACUACCAUCUCAUCCCCGACGAGCGCACCUCACACCUGCAGCCCCACCGACACCAUGAAGAAAUCCAUCUCUCCCUUGGACCCGUCUCCUCCGGCUCCCCAUCGCGCCAUUGCCUCUCUCCCACCAGCUCCCCCUUGCGCGUCGAGCGAUCCUCCGGUGCGUCCUCCUCGUCAUCGCGCUCCCAUGGCAGUUUCUUGUCAUGGUCCCGUCGUGCCGGCCACAACUUCUCAGCGCCGCGCUACGGCCAAGAUGUCAAUGCGGCGCAGUCAUCCUGCUACGGUGGCAGCUUCGCGUCGGGAUCGCGCUCCGACGCCGCCGACCUCAACCCACCGGCGUUGCCCACGGAUUGUCGCCGCGGAGCCGCUAGGGGCUCCCCGUCGUGUUCCCGGCCUCCUCCAGCGAUGGGGGCGGCUUCCUCCACCCCUGCACCCUCGUCACCACCCGAAAAGUUGACCUUCACAGUGAACCUUCCAGUUGGUGUGAUCAACUCCGACUUCGAGUCCCGGACUGAGAUGGACUCGUCUGACGACCGUCACCGCGGCUACCGCAUGCCCUUCCCCCAGGGCGACGCUCUGCGCGUCUUCCACAAUGUUGACAACACCUUCGCGUGCCCCGUCUACCCUACCAAGAGGCACCGGUGGAGGAUCCUGAAUGAGGUCAAGGACCACGUUGUGGGAAUGACAACGUCCGGACCCCUAAGGAAGGACAACAAGAAGUGGAGCUACCACUGCGUCAUGGCCUGGAAUGAUGGGUGGAUGUAAGCGAGCCGCGGUGCGCCCAACCGUGCCUCGUCACCGCGCUGUCAUUGUCGUCAUCGAUUGCUGUCGUGUGGCAACCUACCAUGCUCCACGUUUGCUAAUUAAGUUCACACAGGAGCUAAUUUCAGUUGAAGUAGUACUGUGUAUGUAGCUGCAGUGGGAUGGCACUGCUACCUGUGUUUAUGUACUCGAUCCAUAUGUGGAGCUCGUGCUCUACUCGUUUAAUUGUUUUCGGUGCUUAAUUUAUUCUAUGUUUCCAUGUGUCUGCACUGGCGACGACGGCGAGGAGGAGUUCUUGAAAAACCCUCUUGGAACUGCUGCCGACCGCCAGGAAGUUAAGGCGACACCGUGUCUCAGGGAUGGCAACCGUCUUCUCGGUGAGCAUGCGCGGGAACAGGAACCAUUGCGCCUGUGUGUGAGUAUACGAGUGUUCAAAAAGAAUGCGAGUGUGGAGUUAGUCAAAAACACUUGAGUAGCCCAGUGGUGGAUAGCAACUGCCGCACUGCCUUUGACCUGUGUUCGAUCCUGUGCGGCAGCAAAAUUUUUGCUCGCUUUGGUGGCUCACUCAAACCUGGACCAGCUCCACAACAAUUUCAUCUCGGGCUGGACUUUGAAACAGGGCUCCACCAUCACACAUGGCCACAGUGUGGACACGUUGGACCAGGCAAGCAGGCCCCAUAUCUAUACGUGGCUGGCACGACUACUUGCUGGACCCACUGCGCGUACACGUGGACCACCAGGACCCACCCAAUGGGACCUGCAUGUACACGUGGUAGCCACAUCGACUUGCUAGCCCACACUCGUACACUUGGAUGGCCGGGUCCCACCUCCCCAGUGAACCCCGUUGACAUAUUGGACCCACAACCCUGACACGUGGACCGCGGGUUCCUGUCACCACACGUGGCUGCUAGGUAAACAUGUUGGAUCAGUCAACCGGGACCUACAGUUACACGUGUUAGCCACGUCGUCAUGCCGGACCCACACUCAUACAUGUGGAUGAUCGGGUCCCACCUCUCUAGUGGACCCCGCGUUGACAUAUUUGACCAACGGCCCUGACACAUGGACCGGCAGGUCCUCAUCGCUACACAUGGCAACCACGUAGAUUUUCAUCAUAGAACGUCAUGCACAAAACGUCAUGGAAGCUUAGUGAGUAUUUCUUCCUGUAUGAUAUUUGCAAGUCGCUGGCGUCAUAGAUACGAGAUGUUGGUGGCGCACCGUUUUGUGACAACAUGAGAUGUUGUUCUAUGACGCGUGUUUUUUUCCGUCAUAAUUCCAUAGCGGCUGAGGGCUCCCGCCGAUGAUCUAUGACGAACCUGAGAUUUUCAUCAUAGAACGUCAUGCACAAAACGUCAUGGAAGCUUAGUGAGUAUUUCUUCCUGUAUGAUAUUUGCAACCUAAGCAGCACUGAUGAUAUAUAACGGAUGAAAAAUGCGACUUAGUAUGCUUCUUGGGUGAAUAUACAUACUUUAUCAGAUUAGCAAUUUUUGAGAUCGAUGUUCACUUAAUUACCUAGGAAUCUAGGAUCCGUCUUUGUAUUUUCACAGUUGAGAUUUGCUUCGGUAACUCUGUGUUGACCUAACCUGAAGUCAUAACUUAGACGCAGCAGUUAUUCAUUAAUCCAGCCGUCUGAUAUAAAAUGUGUACUCGUGAUCGUGAAUUGGAGAUGGUUUCGGUCAAACUAAGUAGAUGAGUAAGAAAGAAGAGGGCAGCCAUGAGAUCUUAAAAGGUCGGUGCAAGAUUUUAACAUUUUGUUUAGGUAAUGCAAGGUUUUGACUGCAUCUCUGAAGCCCUGAACCUCAUGUGCCUGAUGCUUCUAUUAGUUACUGCUGAUCAUGGCAUUAAUCAGCGACCAGGCCGGCAAAUAACGCGCAUACCGAUGCGCUACACAUUAGCCACCCCAAACAGCACCAUCAGGGCAACUGGAAAUAAUCAAAUGACAGCAGGAUUUGUCUUGCCUACCUGCUCAGGGGACACACUGCAUGCAUCACCACAGUCACACUCAGACCAGAUCGACAAGGGUUGCAGAAUUGUGCAGGCAGACAACAGACCAACCAAAAAGUCAUCACUUCAAAGAAGCACCAGCUUUUGAUCUCACAGCCUGCCGUGAUGCAACAGCAGCAACUUGCAAGCUGAAUUCUCCAGAAUUUGGAUCAGGACCACAUGCAUAAUUUAGCAGCAUCAUUUGUGGUUUCUAUAUGGUUGGUUAUUCUGGGGUUGUAAGCAAAGAUCCCUGGCAAAAACCCAACAGGAAACCCUGGUCACAGGUUGUUCACCUGCCUUGUUCCAGUGCCUCAGCUAGUUAUAUAUCUGUAAAAGAGGGAAAGUACAGUUCUGCUGCAUGUGCACAGGGAAGAAAAAUAAGGUAUCAGUGUACGUGCAACUAGAUGAGACCAACUUUGUGAGGCUACAAUGGUUACAACUUACAAGCCAUGGGUGCCAAGAUAUUCCAAGCUUCGAGCAUGGCAUGCCAAAAGUGCCAACAGGUGUGUCCUUGUGUUCUCAUUGGUCUGCUUAUCAACUCUGGUAUCUAUUGUGUUUCUUUUAGGCAUAAACUAAUUAUAUUUAACCUUUAUGAUUCAGUUUAGAGUUACGUGUAAACAAAGUAGUAUCAUUGAUUUUUUUAUUGCUUUAUUUUUGCCACUUUGAAGUUAACUAUUCUGGCCUUGUAAGGAAGAUCCUUGGCAAAACCCAGCACAUCACCAUGGCCACAGGUUGUUUCCCUGGCUUUCUGUUACCAAUAAAAAGGGCUAGUGCAUGUGCACAUGAAAGAAAACAAUACGUCGUACGUGCAACUAGAUGUGACCAACAGCAUAAGUACAAAAGAUGAGUUUGUUUACUAGUGUUUGCUGGUCUGAAGGAUUAUGCUUGCUGAGUUUUAUCCACCGACUAGCUAGGCUUUUAACAAUACAUGCCAGAACCAGAUUUAGGACCACAUGCAUAGUUUAUAAGUGCAUUUCGUUGAGGGUUUUAUAUGUACGUUGCUUUGUGAAGUCCUUUUUGCGAUCAGCAAGUUUAAUUUUUGUUGAGAUGUAAGCAGGAUCCUAGGCAAUAACCCAGCAGAAACUGUUGUCACAGGUUGUUUCCGUGGCUUGGAGUGCUGCUGGUUGUAUGAUCUGUAAAAGAGGUACGGUGAACUGUGCAUAAUCAUGUGCGAAAGAAAGAAAUUAUUGUGGCGUACGUGCACCUAUCUCGGACCAUCAGUUCUAUCAUAAAAGAUAGACAUACGACCAUCAAUAUUCGGCAUUUAAACCUCGUCAUAAUUCAUAAACUUUUCAUAGGAUAACGCAUAAAAAAGAAUUCAAACUCCAAAACAAUAAAGAAUUCUCCUGUGGACUAUAUAGGAUAGUUUAUAAACUCGAAGGGCUCACGUUAAAAAUGACUAUAGGGGUUUAAACCCGGCUUCUCACCUUAUGCCACACCGAUUUCAAAAACACUCAAUAGCACACAUGUUCUAUUAUUUACCGAAGCAUAGGUUGAGCGAAACCUACAACCUGUUAGCUAGGCUUCGCAUACCAACUCGAUGACAUAUACAGAACUUUAUCUAUCUAUCAAAGAGUUACUUGCAUUUUGUGAGGAUCUCACAUUUCAACCUGCAAAAACAUCUAUUUGUAUCGUUGUCAGUUUUUUAGAAAUAGUACCAUUUUUCUACACAGGGAUGGAUCCAACAUGGGUGUGGGUGUGUGUGUGUGGGGGGGGGGGGGGCAGCUGGAGCCCCUACCCAUGGAUCCUAUGGAGCCCCCAAAGGCCCCCUGCAAUAGAUGAAGAGGAGGAAGAAGAAAAGGAGGGGGAAGAAGAGGAGAGAGGAGGGAGGAAGAAGAGGAGGGAGGAGGAGAUUGAGCCCCGUUGUGUGAUCUUGGUUCCACCCCAAUUUCUAAAGGAACUACACAGAUGCUCAACGUUGAUAUGGACAUUGAGAAAUACCAUUUUUUUAGAGCAAGAUUAAAAAUCAUCUUGGAUUGGAACGUGGGAGUUGAGAGAACUGUAUCGAAUCGGGGCGAUCUUAUUGAAAGCGGUACGGCUGAUGAGCCUGAUCAGACGGCUGCAGAUGCAUGGGACUCCGGCCAGGUUCCGUGUGCACGGUUGCAACCCCAACUCCAUCCAAGCUGGUUGCCUGUCCCUGUAUGGGUUCGUCUCCACUCUGUAGCCGGCAACGCGUGGAUCCAAAGCCAGGAUUGGCUGCAUCCAGGGCACACACAUCCGAUGCGAUAUCGAGAUGUGAUGCAGUUCACCUGCUCGAUCGGCAGCUUCCUAUGGAGUAUCUUGGGUCCUGGCUACCUAUUCCUAAUCCUACAGGCUUCUUUGAUGACCCUUGUUCUUCUAUAAACUGGACAAAAUUGGAGAAAUGUAUACUCUAAACUUUUAUAUUUUGGAAUGGAGGGGGUAAGCAAGUUGUUGAGAAAUAUAGACGCGUGCGUUGGCGACACGAUCCUUGUCGAUUUGGAGCCUGAUGUUCUCCAGAUUUGUCGUUUGUUUGCUUGUUGUUUCAGCCGAAAUGGCGGUGGUCAGUCUGACGCGUUUGAUGGCAACGGAUUCAGUGGUUCUGCUUCUGCAUGCGUAAAGCACCGUGAUGCCUUCCCUUGAUAGCCUAGUGUGCUAGUGUUUAACCACCUCUGAUUUGUUACCCUCGUUUCAUUAUUUCAGAUGAGGAAGUGCCGGCAUUUCUUACACGAUGUGUCCAUAUCAGUGUUCUUCACCUUUUAUUGUUUUUCAGAUGCACCUUUUUGCUUAGUAGAAAAGUAUUAGACAGGCCCAAGUACAAACGUAUUUUCUGAUUGAGGGAAAAAAAGAAAAAGGGGAGCACUCCCGACCCCUACUAUCUGAAAUGAGGAUAGCUUAAACUAGUAGGUGCCUUUGAGGUUGCUUUCCGCUAAGAUCCGCAUUUGCAGCGCGAUCAGCACUAGCAUCAGUAAGUGUCCACCUUGCACAGCUAGAGCCAGAGAAAAUUCAUCGGCAACCAUUUUCCUCGCGUUUCUGUGGCGCGGCUGUUGGAACAGGAUGACAUUCUUAUUCCAACUAGCCACGCAUCCUUCUCAUGUGAACAUAAGCGGUCUGAGUCACCCAAGAUGAAUUUGGAAUGCAGGAAUUUCAUAGGAAUUCUUUUACAAGAACAAAUCAUGAAAACUUUCCGUGCUCCAAUUGAGCCUAAGCCAUUUGCCCGGAUCAUUUGGACCACAUACGAGUAUAUUCUGAUGCAGAAUCUGGAACUCAGACUUCUGUGUUGAAUAAUAUGGAGGAUCUGUGAGAUCUGAUUAGCUCCAUGCAGACUCCAAAUCGGCUCGAGAGUGGUGCAAGGUGUGCCGGCAAUUUGACAUGAAAAUUGACAAGGUAAACAUUAAAUUCCUGAACCGAUCGGUGGCAAAGCCUCUCGAACUCAUGGGUAGACGUUCUUGAAUAAACACAAUAGAUAGAUAUUAAUGUAAGCAUGUGAUGUAAAUAAAUAAAUAUUAAUGGCAUGUGCCAUCGACUAUGUCAGCCGACGGGGUAAAAUAAAGCAUUAUAACACAACAACCAUAAAAGGGAGCCCUCAUUAACUACGCGCUUAUUGGAUAAGCUAACAGAUCUAGCCAAUGUCUUGAUAAGUGUAUUGAACUCAGAUAAGGUAACACGAAUGAGAGGACAUUGGCAUCAAUCUACCAACUUAAAAGAUUAGAACAUAGCAACAAGGACCAGCCGAUGCUGACCGUACACAAGCCAGAUGUAUUAACAGAUUUUAAUUAAUGUCUUGAUAAAUGUAUUGAAUUUAGAUAAGGCAACACGAAUGAGAGGGCAUUAAUCUCGAUCUGACAAUAUAAAAGACUAGAGCACAAUCACCAAAGACCUUUUGCCUACCGCUUGCAAGUCAAUUAAGGUAACAAAGUCCACUCAAUGUUAUGACUGAGUAAUUAAACUUAGACAAUGUAACACGGUGAGAGUGUAUUAACUUCAACCCGUUAGUCUUAACAGACAGGUUCACAGCAGCAAGGCCUCGCAUGCGCCCCUAUCGGCUCAAUGACGUCAACAUACUUCCAUGAGAUAGGAUAAAACCCGACCGAAACAUCAGCUCUCAACGGUAGCACGCUGAUGUCAGAGGCCUGACGGUUAGUAAUAUGAGGGACAGAAGUAAAGAUCUAUCGGAUCUAGAAUAUAUAAAGCAGUAAAAAGCAUGCAGAGUCUACCAGCCGAUACGAUCUGAUAACUGUGAACAUUUAAACAAGGUAAGGGAGCCAAUGAAGACAACCUAACCAGAUCUAAGCCGUUCGAUAACUUGAGCAACAUCAAAAACAAGUAGAAUAUUGGACAAAGCCUAGAAAGUUCUACUUGCUCUCUAAGAUAACUCGAUAACUAGCCACACAACAAUAUCAGAAUAUAAGACUUAACUUAGAAAGUUCUGAUAGAGAUCGUAAUGAUCAGGUGACAGUACUUACAAGCUCGCCCGAUAUCGAAGCCGAUGCAGCCUUGUGCGUUAGAAGGAACUCGUCGAAUCUACUCUACUCCUACUCCUAGGGUUUUGGCAGUGUGACGCCGAAAGCUUGUAUUGAUUGAUUGAUUGUCUAUUACAAGGCUCAUGGGUUUAUAUUUAUACCCUAGAGCAAGCUAAAAUCCCAGUCAGAUACGACAUAAAUUAUUACAGCUCUUUCUAAAAACUACUAAAGAUAAAUAUCCACGCUUUCCCUUAUUUGGCGGAGUCGAUUUCGCUUCAGAUUGGGUCCGCCUGGUCUUCCAUCGGCUUCUAAAACCCUGGUCAACAGCGGUCAGUCUUGAUCAACGCGGCAUCAUCAAUAGACCCUGUUCGCUCUCCUUCUGUUCUCUCUCCUUCAUCGGCUAUUAAAAUCUUAUCCACAGUGAUUGACUCUGGUUAAAAACUGGUAUCAACACCGUAACAUCAUACCUACCGUAGCAUCAUACCUCCCAAUCAUACGCUCUCAAAGUCCAAGCACAGUGUUCUUGACUUGUUGUUGAUCCUAUCGUGCCAUCCUACAAUGUGCCUGCCUGCAACCCAUGGCUGAUCCGAUCCUCACGAAGGCGAGACGGUAUUUAGUACUGCAAUUGGGCAAAGGAUUAGGACAGCAAUGGCAGCCACUUGGACGGGUGGGCCAGCGCCCCUGCCGGGUGGCCUCCCCCGUGGGCGGCAUCGACAGCUACGCCCAAGCGACUAGUCUCUCGGUGGGAACAUACCUUUUGCUUCACGUCGGAUGGCCGAAAAAUAGUCGCUGCCUGGCUCGCCAGCUUGUUUUCUAGUACUACGCCUCACAUGAACGCUCUUGCCUAACAUGACGUGUGCGCGUGUGUGCAAGUGCUCAUGGUCCCUGGACUUAGCCCGCCACUUGGAGAUGCACCGGACAAGCAAUUGGAGCCAUGUCAUCGCCAUGGUCGAAAUGCCUGUACCUAAGUUUACGAGGUUCUAGUGCGAAACAGAAUAGUGAACCCAUAUUUUCAAAAUGCGAACAACAAAAAUGUAUUUAUACCCCAUAAUGUAAUAACUAUAAACAUUGAUGCUGCCACGAUCGCAGGGAUAAUAGAACUGAAGCUGGUUAAGCAUGCACUGUGAGCUACUGAGUUUGACAUGAAAAAGACUGGAUUGUAACGUACUUAAUAAGUUCAUUGCUGCUUUGAGUGGCCCCUCAAAAUUGGAGGCCUGUACAGUCGCGCCACUCGCGCCAUGUAAUAUACGGCACUGGAUUCUAAUGCAGAGGUGCUCGUGGUCUAUGUGGGAGAUCCAAUGGAACAUGUUCAGCAGAAGAAAGUCCCCAGCCUCGAUCGGUCUCUGAUGCUCUGGGCACUAGUUUUACUGACGAUAGCACCAUCAUCAAGCAACGAUUAGCCUAGUGAUUAGAAGAUUCCUUUUCCAUGUCUGUGGUCACCCUAGGUUAGAUGGAUCAAAAGUAACUCCAUUAAACAGCUCACUUUCUUGCCAGAUUAGCACGCCUCAUCAGAGUAUUCUAGCCUGCACUGCACCCGUAUCAGCUUUGGCGAGCACACACCGCACAUAAUCGCAUUGUUUAUGCGUCACAAAACUGCCGCAGCGAUCUCCCUGCCCAGGAAAGCCUGGGCAGAGCCGCGAAUUAUUAAAGCGGUCGAGGACAUGACAGUGCUUUGCUUGUGUAAUGUUGACAAACUUUGCAUGCCGAUGGAUCCUCUGAUAUAUACCUUCUCCGUGUUUUUUAGUGUCAGAAUCAUUUGAGAAUGCAGGCAUGCAGAUCGUCCGGUCCUUUUGAUUGUCCCUGGAGAUCAGAGCCGGUAGUCUCCAGCAACAACUUGCAGGAUUUUCCCUCCAAAACCGAGGCAGGGCUAGCUCGUUUGGAUUUGUUCGUGGUUGUUUAUUGUUGGGGCAUCCUGGGUUGGAUAGAUUCCGGAUCUCGCAGGAGUUGGGGAUCUCUCCAAGUUGCCACGUCGAAGCAUGCAUUUCCCAACCUCCUCGUUGUUUUGUUUGUGAGGGCAACGCCUCCAUUAUGUUGUUUGGGAGAAGGGCCGCGGGCGGGGCCUUGCACAUGUUGUUUCCACCAAAGGACAGAACUCUACCAAAUGUUGUGUUGUUAUUUAAUCUUUGUUCAUUCCAUGACAAAUAUAAUUGAUGAACCUAGCUUACUUGAAGUUGAUAGUCCCUACUAUUAAAUAGAAGAAAUGAGCAAUGUUGGUGAUGUGCUCAACAUUAUUGGCCAAGGAUAAGUUGAGGGCGGUGCCAUUUGAAAAGGCCAACUAGUACCAUGGUAUAGUCAAAGGGGGUCUUAUUAGCAGCGUUAUGAAGACCGUCAAGGGGAGAUUGAAUUGGGUUGAGGUCUUCAAUAAAAUGCCAGUUUUUUUUUAUAAAAUAGUUUUGGUUCUCGAAAGGUACCACCUACAAGUUGCUUGGAUGUAACAAAUUUGGUAGUUUUAAAAACCAUGGUACUGCUAAAAUUGUACUUUGGAGCUUCAGAACCGGCACUUAGAACUAUUUUUUUCCUUCUAACCUUGGCUUCAAAGGCCUUUACUAUAGUAUGAACUUCAUUACGGUAUCGAUCGAGAUCCGUAUGAACUUCAUUUUCUGGUAACUUGACAUUUGAGCAUACACUUCAUUUCCGACACGGCAUCUAUGAUUGCUCAAUAUAUGUCUAAAUCAUAGGGGGCAAAAACAUCAAGCUGAUGGUGCCAUUUCACUCCGUGGAAUAUCGCUACAGGGGUUCCCAAUCACAAGUGGUCCAAAUCGCAUAUACAAUGCCUAUCCACUCUGGCAUAGGCGAAAAUCUUUUUUUUUCAUUUCUCGAGGAGAUAUUUUUUCGGGGACACAUGAAAAUAUAUUUCUAAAGGAUAUUAUUUUUCAAGAAAUACGAAAAUUAAUUGAGAACCCUCUGCUGUGUUUCUUCCCUCAAGUCUAAGAAGUCUGCUCACAACACAACGAAAAGGAGAGGUCUACAAAACUUGGCCCACUGGGCCGUGGAUUUUUCUGACUUUGGACCCUGACCAGGCCUACCAAAAAUGCCCAUACGGCCAUACCGAUCACCGCAAAAGAAGUCAAACUGUGGCAGGUCUCGCAGCCGGCAGCCGCAGCGCAUGCAGCGUGUUUGACGUUAUGCUUUUGUCGCUGCUUGCGUGCUGCGUGCAUCGCCGUCACGGCGGCACCGCCCGACCGCCGAGCGUCGCCGGCCAUCGAUCGGGGUAUGAAAAGCACGCGCACGGCUCUUGACUCAUCGCUUGCCAGGCUACAGGCUACAGCUGCACGCUGUCAUCGUCACUGUCCCCGCUCGCCAGCCAGACGCCGAGCGCCUCUGCACGACCGUGCAUGCAUCUACAUGCCGCCAUGAACAGGUGACUGCCAGUGUCCAGUACUUUCAGGCGCCAGUGCUAGCUGCUACGGACGCACGGAGCCAGGCUGGUCGCCCGGCGGACGGACCCGCCCGGGCGGCCAGCGACGCACGUCGGCCGGCAUCGCGGCAGCCUCCGCACGGAAGCGUGCGCGAUCGGGUCCGUUAGAUGUCUUCGUCCGCGGCUGUCCCAUGUCGUCCGGCCCCGCGAGAGCGGAGAGCGCGCGCAGCAGGGCGCGGCAGCCGGCAGGGCAUGGCCGGGCCGAACAGUCGUGUCACCCCGGCCGCAGCCGUCGAUUCAAUUCAGUCAGUGAGUACGGCACCUCCUCGUUUAAUUUUGGCAGCAACAUCCAUCGUAUCCAGAGGAAGAGUUCGCGAGGCUGCCGGUUGGCCCGAUAAGAGCAGCAGGGAGUGGUGCCCGCCGAACAGGAGCUCCCCAAUCAUCAUCCCCGACACACACAGCGCCUUGCAGGGUCGUGCAUGCAUGUGAGCAGUUCCGGGCGCGGGCAUCCAUUGCAUGGACGAGGCGUCGCAGGGCACCGUGUGCAACAGUUCAAGCGAGCUUGCAUGCGGCAGGGCGCAGCGGAGCGAGGCUGUCCGGGGGGUCGCGGCCAUCUCUCCGUGCCCCUGAGCAGUCGCGGUCGCGCGGCGCCCCGAGUGUCACAGUGUACCGCCAGACGCCAGCACGCGCCACGAAUAUAAUAGGAUGUUGCCGAUGCUAUGCCAGCGGAUCCUGCAGGCGGAUCUCGCCGUACGUGCCUGACGAGGAAGUUACUACCACAGGGGCACAGAGCAGGGGAAGCAGACGCUGGAAGACCGACCAGCAGGACACCCGGGUAGAUGUCCGGGCCCGGGCAGAGCUGCAGAAGCCAGCCGGCAGACAGCGACGCACGUCGGCGGCAACGGCACCGCGCGGCAGUGGUGUACUGGUGUAUGGUAUGGUAUGGAAGCUGCCUGGCCUGAACGUCCAGAGACGUGUAGUGUAGCUCUGCCUGUGCCUGGCAGACGGGGUGGGCCGACGGCCGGCGCCCGGCGCCCGGCGGGGUUUCCUGUGGGUAGCCGUUGAGCCUCGCUUUCAGGACGCGCGCGUGUGAUCGGCCGGUUUAUGAAGGCGUCGUCCAUGGCUGUCUCCUACGAGAGACAGAUGAGGCAUGCGACGGACAAAAUCGUGGCUCCCCAAAACUCGGAUGUCGUCGUCAGACCCCUCCAGAGUCCCCACACACCUAAUGGGCACUCUGGCCUCCUGCCCAGCCACAGCCACGAAAACUCAUGAAAAAGAUGGAGAACAACUCGCCCUUAAAGCUCGCCGCGGACGCCGGCCGGCCAAGCGGUGUGCCGAGAGAGACCAAAGGGGCGUAGGGUCUGGUGGAACAGGAGCUAGCUCCCAAUAAUCAUGGCGCGCCGCAGAGCGUGGACGAAAGGCGUGGAGUACGCUGGACGUACGUACGACAAUCAUACAACGGAGCAGGCCAGGAUCACACCACAUGCGCGCCAUGUCCCCGUGUUCCGCAGCUUCGUUCGUCAAGUAGCCGCCGAGGGCGACGGCUAUCCAUGCCCGGAUUGCAGCAGAUCGUCGUGGCCAGCCCGCGCUGCUGGCGCCUGUGUUGCGUUGCGUCGCGGCGCCGGCAGCGCAGCAACGUGGGCUCGGCGGAUUCUGCAGUAGAUCUGUCGUCUACAUCGUUUCGGAACCCCAUCGAUCUAUGGAUCGUUCAUGUCCGUUCAGGAACUGUCCUGUUUUUUUUUUUUGAAAUGGAUGAUUUAGCAGCCUCUCUGUUAGUACCAAACCGCCAUCUAAACUGCGUGUCGGGCCGCACAAAAGACGCUCCGUGCCUGCGGAACUCGCCAGGCGGUGGUGGUGCGCGCCCGUGACUCCAGCUCCGGAGGGCAAAGAGUUAGCUAAGCAGGGUGCGGUCUGCUUGGUGGGGGAACUUUCUCGCCUCUCUCUUGCGAAAGCGUACGAGACCAUGCGGCUCCCCCCUCCUGUGCAACCCGGAUUUGCGCACAGGUUUGGGGUCACACCCAUCCGAAGCGCAAGGCGACCAUAUCCGGGGCUCCGCGGGCAUCGCUGUUGCUGCACAGCCACCCGGCGGAGGAGCCAUGGGCCUGUGGAACCCCUCUUGCUAACUCUUUUUUUUUUUGUCAUUUCUUAAGUGUGUCAAAGGCACGUAAAAUUAAAAUAACGUGCCACUGCCUUCCUGAUUUCUUCUCGGUUAUCUUAGCUUCUCACCGUCGUUGAAUGUGUCUCUGAACAGCUUCCUACAAUGGCGUGCGCCGGUGAGCGUGCAUGCAUGGCCACGUACAGAAACAAGGAAGUGCCGACCGGGUGACGAUGGAAUGGAUCGAUAAGGCAAGCCGGCUGGUCGAUCGAGGACAUGUCGACGCGCUCGGCGUCGCAGAUCGGUGGCGAUGGCAAAGCUAUGACUGAUCGACGACGGUCCGAGGCGUGGGCCAGAAAGGGGCACAUAGGCCUGAUGGGAGCCCAUCGCAUCCCGUGACCCCCUUUUGGGUUUUGAAGGCCUCGUGGCAACUGGCAAGACAUAUUUGUCCGAUGUUAAUUUCAAACCUUAUUUAGUGCCAAAUCGUCAACCAAACCGUUUGAAGGCCGGCACAAAUAACGCUCCCUGUCCAGCCAACUCGACGGGCGUGGUGGUGCGUGUCUGUGACUCCAGCUCGGGAGGGUAUAGAGUUUGGCAAGUGAGGGCCUGAGGGGUUUGCCUUGUGGGCCCAUGUUGCGACGAGAGCCAAAUCUCCCCUUGCUAGCAAGCAAGCGGGAUGAUUGCUGACUAACCAGUGUGCGUCCCGUCGAGCGGCAGGAGGAGGGGAAGAGAGGGUGGGAUGGAUCCAGCACCCCGGGCAUGAGUCUGGGUUGUGAGUUUAUCAGCAACAGACAGGGGUAUAUGCAAAGAUUGGGGCGGCCCUAGGGCCCCCUAGCCGAAGCCCUAUAAACUUGUCCGGGCUUCACGGGGUUGAUGGGCUUUUGUGCCCCAGCUCCGUGGAUCAUGGGCCCUUUGCAAACCCCCCUUACCACCAACUCUUUUUUUUUCUCUUUUUCAGAGCGUUGCAACGGGAAAUUAUGGUAUUUCCAUCGAUUAUAUUGUGGUACGGAAAAGGAUGAGCGGAUCAUGUAAUACGAAAUAAUAUUGCUCUGCUAUGUAAACAUUAAGUUUUAAGUUCGAAAACGAUACUUUUCACUGAUGCCUUGCAAAUACAAUUAAAACCAACCUCGAUUUAAAUUUAAGUGAGUAUAUAUUGGCAAAUGUGCAUUGUUAACAGCUUACACAGUUACAUUGCACGUGCGGGUCCCUUGGUUCAAAUUCCCAACACCCUUUAAGCUCUGAUUGAGAACUGUCGUGCUUUGCUAUCUUGCUCAGAAUUACAACUCAUGCAUAGUUUAUGUUGCUCUAGAUUGAUUAUCUCUUGCUCAUAUAUAUUAUUUAUCUUAUAUGUUAUUUAUUUGUAUCCAUGCUCAUGCUUAAUUAGAUUAGAUUCAAAUCUCCUGAACCUGAAUCAAGUUACUCGGUGUUUAGUUGAAAUAGAUCUUAUUUAUGAGUUCCACGGCUUGAUAAAUCUUGAGGGAAUACUCUAAGUGAAGAGCUAGAUCUGAUCCGUACGCUUACGGUUUAAACUGGCGCGCUAAUAGCUGCCACCAAUCUCGUUCCUGGCACAUGUGGUGGUGAGUCAUCACAGCAGGUAGGCUUUUAUUUAUUUUUCCUUUCUUCAUUAUUCUAAUUAUGCUAGCUAUUAGCUAAUUACGUACUGUGUAUGCCGAUGUAAACUUCAACAUGAAGAGUUUAGUCAACAUUCCGGAUUGAAGAAAACCAUUCAACAUUCUGAUUAUACCCUUUUAGCAUUUUUCACAUAAAAUUAAACUAACACGUUUAAACUAUUGAACUAAUAGAGUCAACAUUUUAAAGUACUAGGUUUAACAUUUUCUUAAACUUAGUUCAACAAUUUGGAUAAAUUAUAUCAACAUUUUGUAUGAAAAUGUUAAAGCAACAUGUUCAAAAUGUUGAAGUAGUUGUUCAGAAUGUUCAAAUAGUACCAUCAAGAAUGUUUAUUUUAAAAAAUAUAUUAAAAAAUAUUCAUUAUUUUGUGUAUUAAUUCUAAAUAAUAUGGUGAUUCAAACGGAUUAACGGUCUAAGAGAAAAUUGCAUUUUAAGUUUGAAACUCAAAAUACGCCUCUUCCACUCGGCUGUUGACACCUGUCCGUCGGGUUUGCACUCGCACCCGUGAACCCGAUUCACGCCCAAGCAAACUUGCAAUCUCAGGUGUCGCACGGAUCUCCAAUAAUUAAAGCUAUGUAACAAAUAAAAUUCCGGAAGUCAAAUAGAAACUGUGUAUUAUGCUCUCCCUCCUGCGCAAGCGCAACCCGGAUUUGCGCACAGGUUUGGGGUUGCACCCAUCCGAAGCCCAACACCACUGAAUCCGAGGCUCUACAGGCAGAAGCGGCUACACUAGCUAGAGCACCUCUCCAAGAGUGCUAAAAAAUAGAGUCCAAUAAAUUAAUUUUUAGACCCUGCUAAAAACUAUUGGGAGGAGAAAAAAAAGACUCUUCUCCAAAACAAAUUUAGUUAGCUGCCAUGUCAUCAUUCGUGGGCCCAGGCCCAUAUUUUUCUGUGCGAGAAUACGGAACGGAGGUCUUGAUUGACGAGAUUUCCGUGAAGAAAAUAGGAAACGGAUGGCUUGACCACGUGCUGUGCUCCAUAAAAAAAGGACAUCAGCUCAACGACAUGGAUUAGGUCCUGUUUGGGAGGAGUGUGCUAAAAUUUAGUACUGAACUAAGGGCCUGUUUGGCAACCAGGUGUUAAAGUUUAACACCUGUCACAUUAGAUGUUUGAUACUAAUUAGGAGUAUUAAACAUAGGCUAAUUACAAAACUAAUUGCACAGAUGAAGUGUAAUUCACGAGACGAAUCUAUUAAGCCUAAUUAGUUCAUGAUUUGAUAAUGUGGUGCUACAGUAACCAAUUGCUAAUGAUGGAUUAAUUAGGCUUAAUAGAUUCGUCUCGCGAAUUAGCACAGGAUUCUGCAAUUAGUUUUAUAAUUAGCUCAUGUUUAGUUUCCUAAUUAGCAUCCGAAUAUCCGAUGUGACACCGUUAAAGUUUAACACCUCGUAUCCAAACACCCCCUAAAUUUUAGCCCUCUCAAAAAGAGUGCUAAACUUUAGCCUUUGGGGGUGUUUGGGAGGGGUGCUAAAGUUUAGCACCUGCUAUGCCAAAUGACCCUUUUACCCCUGCAUAGCUUGCACUGUUACUUGUUUCCUGUCCCUGGACCUCGCCGCGGACUCGGUCACCGCGCGGUCGGCGGGAUCCACCAUCGCCCGCUUCCGGCUUGCCCUCCCGCCGCCGACUCCCCCGGGCCCUCCCGCCGCCGACUCCCCCGGGCGCAUCCGCCGCCCCUGGCCCUGGAGCCUCCGCCGCCGGCGCAUGCGCACCGCGGCCGUUCCGGAUCCGGCCGGAGGAGGCGGGGGCGGCGGGCGAGCGGAGGUCGCGGGGGCGGGCGGGGCCGGCGGCGGCGGUGGCGUUCGGGCGAAGGAGCGGGGAGAGAGAGAGACUGAGGGGAGGAGAGAGAGGGGAGGGGGGCAGGGGGGAAAGUGGUUCGGGGGGACCACUUUUUAGUCCAUUUAGUCCAUUUUAGCUACCCCCAAGUGACUAAAUGAUUAGAGGGGGGCUAAAGUUUAUCCCACAAGAUUUAGCUGGGGUGUUUGGGAAGCUUGGGGGCUAAAAUGGACUAAAGGGGGGUGCUAAACUUUAGCACCCCUCUCCCAAACACCCCCUUAGUAUAGAUUGGGCUGGCCAAUAAAUUCAACAGUUUAGACAGUUGCUGUUUUUUUGUCAUAUAUAGACAGUGAAGGAGACAACUUGUAUAGAGAUUUAUCUAUUAGGUUGUUUGCGAAGUAUUUAAUCCAUUCAUAGGCACAUAAAUCAUGGUGAUCAAGUAUAAAAUUGAUGUGUGUAGCCAUAAAUCAUGGUGAUUAAGUAUAAAAUUGAUGUGUGUAGCCAUUUUGUUGCUUGUAUAAGAGAAUGCAUGGUGGAUUUGAAUAAGAGCAACUGAUUCAAAUGUGCAUGUCACAGAUAUUAGAAAUACUGCAAUAUUGAACCAGAACAGAUUUUGCUCUAGAAUAAGAGCAGUGCGAGUCAUGAACCAAUCAAGUUGUGACCAAAAUAUUGCACAGCAACACAAGCAUUAAAAUGAUGGAUCCAAGAAUAACGCAAACACAUUUCUUUCUAUGCUGUCAACUCUUCAUCCAUACGAACUCCAUCACUUCUUCUAUUCCCAACUUGAGAUGAUUUGCUUCCAGCAGGGCUGGUAUGGCAUGGAAAAUUCUAUUCUUCAUUAGGUACUCCUGAUAUGGCAUGAUCCUAGCACCUGCAAAUGGAUCACAAUUAGUAGAAGAAUUGAGUCCCAAGUUCUGAAAUUUCUUAUCACAGUAAGUAGAGGGCAAUGCUAGUUUCACAGAGAAACAAAGCUUCCAGUAGGCAUAACAUACACAUUUUUACUUCACGCAUGUAAUUGGAAAACACGAUAGGGAAUUCAAAAUCAUGUUACAUCUACUGAACUCCUACGGUACCCAAGCAAUGAAGCCUUACACAAUCUUCCUAUCUAUCUACUAGAUUUCAAUGCACAGCCGACUGAAGAUUUCUGUUGCAAUGGAGCCUUGCUGCUGCUUUACUACACAAGACAAGAUAUGCCUUGCACAAUCUCCUCUAAUAACCUGCAACAUCUCACCAACACCUGCCCCCUUACAGAUCAUAUAACUCAAUUCAACCCAGCAUACACCCUUUGACAAUGCUCAACAUACCGACACAGCAACUCACCCGAAGUCUAACACUACUAGGAAUUACUCUACCAUCCACCAGUUAGUCUACUUGUGCUUUUCUGAAUACUAGCAUAUAGUACAUGCAUCCUGGCUCAGACUCAGAUUAUCAGGCUACCAUCCACCAGCAUCAGACUAACAGGCUCUGAAUGAAGUUUUGGGAGGGCAUCCAUAACAGCUGCAGGAAUAGGCAUAUGGAAUAGGACAUGUUCAUCGAUCGAUUUUGCAGCUUUGAGGAUCUGAUGAACAAGCUUAGCCUGAAAAACAAGCCUUUUUCGUUGAAAUUGAUAUAGGGAAACUACAAGAACUCUGUAUCUAUCAUUGAGUCCAUCACUUCCUGCAUAUUUUGUUGCAUACACCGUUACUAAAUACAAAAAUGUACUAGUAAGAAUGAAGAGAAACUAUGCCACCAAGCAGAAAUGAAAACUGUCAAUUAGAACUAUGAAUGUAGUAACACAGACAAUGACAACGUACAAUGAGCAUCGCAUCAAGCUUCUGAAGAGCAGGAAGGUUCACAUGAACAUCUGAACGGGCCUUUGGAGUCAUAAUCUGCAUGGUCCAGUUGAAAGUAACCAAAUAAGACUGAGUUAUUUUACUUUGUAACAAAAAAUAAGCUGAGGAUUCGAGGAACACUUCAUAAGCGGAUUCCCGUACCGUGAGGCGGUCGGCGAGGAGGACGGCGCUGUCACUGUCAGAGAGGUGCAUGAAGAGCUCCUUCUUGGAUGGCGGCGCGGGAGAGAGCUCCCUGUCGGCGAGCGGCGGGAGGUUGCCCGGCAGGAAGCAGGCCCACACUGCGUCGGAGUCGGAGCUCGAUUCGGCACCCGCGAAGGUCAAUUCAACGCCUGCGGAGCUCGACUCGACAACGGCGGAGGUCGAUUCGGCGGCUACGAAGCUCGAUUCAGCGCCUGCGGAGGUUGAAUCAGCGGCGGUGGAGCUCCUCCUGGCGGUCCGUGUGAGCACGCAAGCAGCUUGCUCAACGCAGGAGAGCAGCCUCCCGCGCGCGCCCAAAUCAGCUGCUGUCCGUGCGGGAUCCGAGCGUGCGGUCGACGGAGACGAGGCUGUACCACGGUGCUGCAGUGUCUAUUGCCGCCUCGGAGCACGGGACGUCGCCGUCGUCUCGCGAGGUGUCGCCUCGCUGAGAGGAGGUGGUUUUUGCAAAAGCACCGGCUCGCAAACGGCCGUUGUACGUGCCUAUUGGAGCUAUUUUUUUUUCUCAAUCUCUCCCAAAAUUAGAUUUUAGGACUUUAUUUUGGGCACUAUUGAAGAUGCUCUACCUCUGUUCAGACCCCAACCCCAUUGUAUGAUUCGUAUCAGUUGGCGUUUACGAACUGCUCUGUGGUAUUGUGAAUUGUGACUGAUCAACUGAUCCUAUCCUCUUCAAUUGUGCAUGUCUCAGGGAUGCGUACAUGCAUGCAGUAGAGCCGUGAGGCUAUUAGGAAAGAAAAACAAGUAGGAGAGCACAGCAAUCGAUCUAGCUGGUCGAUCGAGACUAGAUCAGCUAGCUAGCUACGGACACAAGAUCUAUUUCUUAAGCGUGUUAUGCUAAUGAUGAACUGGAGCAGUAAUAUUUAAUCAAAGUGGCGUAAAAAUAGCAUGCCACUACCUUGUGCGUUUCUUGAUUUCUUCUCAGUUUCUUAAUUAUCACCGGUGUUGAAUGUGGCUCCGUACAGAAACAAGGAAGUACAUGUGCAUGACCACGUACAGAAACAAGGCGCGGGCUAGAAAGGGCCAUGCAGGCCUGAUGGGAGCCCAUCUCAUCCCGUGACCCCUUUUUUGGGUUUCGAAGGCCUCGUGGCAACUGGAAAACAUGAUUAUUAAUUGGAAUUGCUCCUCAAAAAAUAAAAAAAAUAUUAUUAAUUGGAAUUAAGGACAGAAAUCCAAGGUAGUAACUGCCGUCCGAGGUUUCAAACCUCCUUCUAUUGGAGUACUACCAAAUCGUCAACUACACUGUUUGAAGGCCGGCACAGAUAAACUCCCUGUCCGACCAACACGCCGGUCGUGGUGGCGUGCGCCUGUGACUCCAGCUCUGGAAGGGUAAAGAGUUGGCAAGUGAGGGGUUUGCCUUGUGUCCCAUGAUGUGCUUGGAGCCCAUUUUCCUUACGCCUGCUAGCAGGCAGGCGGGAUGAUUGCUGAGUUUACUAGCACCCGGGGCAUAUAUGGGCCUGCGGUUGAGUUAAUCAGCAACAGACAGGGUCUGCAAAGAUUGGGUCACACGCCCUAGCUUGAAGCCGUAUAAACUUGUUCGGGCUCCACGGGGUUGUACGAAACAGGGCGAAGCUAAAAGAACAAAAGCAGGAGCAGCUCCUAAAACAAUCUGAUCCCUAACGGAGAAGCUAAACCACGUAUCCAGCAUGCGCCCACAAUCUUGCUUCUUCCAUGAUCACCGGCGCCAGAGCUACUGGGGCAGAACGCUCGUGGACUCUUCUAAUCCUUUCGUGCCAAAUGGACCAAGCGACCAACCAAACAAUGGAGCACAUAGCGCGCAAUCAUCUCUGUCAUGUAGGCCAUGGCGGCGUAAUCGGUUGGAGGUCCAUCAUCUACCAUGAAGUAUCAGCCACCCAAAAAAUCUACAUUUCCCUGGGACUUACACUUUCCAUGAUUGUCGGGCUCCUAACAUCAACGUGCGGCCCAGGAAGAGAGCACGGUAGGCGGAUGCAGAGGAGUACUCGCCCGUACUCGCCCAUUUCCAAAUAAAUAUGUCUUGUUCUUGGUUGAUUGACCAUCCACGUAGCAGAUCUCAAAUCCGAAGGAACUGUACUAUGACCUAAACCGUACAGGUAUGAGUGAUGUCCCGUACCGAACGUCUGCCUAGGAGACCAUCGCGCACUAUCCUGGAGUUCCUUGUGCGCGCCGACAUAGCCUCCCAAAGGUUAGGCGCAAUUGUCCUUAUGGAGCACAAUCUAGUUGUCCAUCCAAAAGAGGGUGCGUUCUCCGUUGCCCACCUCCACCGAGAUAGAAGCAUCAAAGAAAGCUUUGGAAAAUGCUGCAUGCGAUAAUUUGAGGCCCGACCAAGUCUUUGACAUGAUAGUGUGAGCAACCCACAACCAUCUUAACCUCAGCGUCGUUCCCAUGAUUUGAAGACUUGGGAUGCCCAGCCCUCCAAAGUCAAUGGGGCAAGAAACAUUUACCCAUGCGAUCGCACAUUUGCCACAAGAAGCGACCUCUGUACCACACCAUAAGAGUCCUCGGAUCAAAGUUUCAAUGGCUCUAGUGGCCCAGGGUGUGACCAAGAUUGCUAUGGAGAUAUGGACAGAGAUGGCAACUAAGGUGGACUUUGCAAGAAUUAGGCGGCCACUCCUGUUCAGUAAUCUCCCCUUCCAAGGUAGGAGGCGCCUAGCGACCUUGUCAACCAAGGGUUGCAUCGCCGCUUUAGGGAGCUUAUAGAUUGAAAGCGAUACACCUAAGUAUGCGCAGGGGAAAUUGGCGAUCUGGCAGCCUAGGGUGUCCCUAAUCAAAGCAAUGUGGUCCUCAGAGCAAUAAAUGGGGAAAACCUAACUCUUAGUAUAGUUAGUGGCUAUACAUGUUGCUUUCUCAAAGAGGGAGAGGAUCUCUCGGAUGAUGAUAAGAUCUUGAGCAACCGGGGAGAAGAAAGCGACCAAAUCAUCAGCGUACAAAGAAGCACGAAAUCUUAUCAUGUCUCGACCAAGAGGCUGAAAUAGCUCUCUAUCGUCAGCUGCUUUGAUCAAAGCGUGAAAGCAUUCCAUGACCAGGACGAAGAGCAUCGGUGAAAGGGGGUCCCCUUGUCGCGGGCCGCGACCAUGACAAAUCCUCCUCCCCAGGAUGCCGUUGAGGAGGAUUUUGGUGCUUGCUGUGGCAAGGAUAGUCGAGAUCUAGUUGGUCCACGUACGUGGGCACCCGAUCGGAGAUAAGAGCUCUAGAAGGAAUAUCUAGUUAACGGAGUCGAAGGCCUUAGCCAGGUCAAUCUUAAACAUUAUUCUUGGAAGUUUUCCAUGGCUAGCGCUUUAGCAGUCCCUAGCACAAAUAUGAAGUUAUCAUGUAUUAGGCGACCUUUGAUGAAAGCGCUCUGGUUAGGUGAGAUGAGCUCAUGAAGGUGGGGAGCGAAGCGGUUAGCAAGGGCUUCAGAGAAAAUUUCCCGAAAACUAUGGAUUAGGCUGAUGGGUCGGUAAUCCCCCAAGGAGGUUGGGUCCGUCUUCUUAGGGAUCAAAAUUAGUAACGCAUCAUUCUGAUGAUGGAAGUUCUAGUAGUCCAUCGAGGAUAGAGCAUCGAAGUCCCUGAUGAUAUCGCUCUUUAUGAUCAACCAAGACGACCUGUAGAAACGGCUCGUGAACCCAUCAGGGCUGGGUGCUUUAUCCAGUGGGAGGUCUCUAAUGACCUCCCAGAUUUCUGCCUCCAUGAAGGGGCGACAAAGGUCCAAGAGGUCCAACUGCGGGAGGCCCAAAGCCUGGAAGUCUAGGGCACAAGAACGACAAUGUCUUAUCCCUAGGAUUGUGUCGAAGUAGUCGAAAGCUGCUGCAACCUUGUCCUCCUCAUAAGUCAGAAUAGCCCCCUCGACCUCUAACGAUGUGAUGUGGUUCUUGCACCUUCGGUGAUUCUCAUGGAGGUGGAAGAACUUAGUGUUAGCAUCACCCUCAUGCAACCAUCUCAUGCUUAACUUUUGGCGAGCAAUAGUAUGCUCGAGAGAAGUAAGGCCGAGGAAUCUGAUUUUUAGAAAACGCCGAAGGGAUGUUCUACCGGGGAUAGCGACCUCGAGUCUUGUGCAGCUUCCAAUCUGAAGAUCACUUCCUUAGCGACCUGAAUAUGGGUAUUUGAGCUCUUUGACAGUUUGGCGGAGAAGGUGGUCAAUGAAGUAGCUUCCAAACUGUGGAUGAAUGUGACACCCGAUCCAGUUUGGUUGGCCUAGUAGUAGCCCAUGAGCGCAGGUAUGCAUGUUUAGUACCACAUUGCUAGUUGAGUAAGGGUGAAGCUAACUUAUAAGCCUUUGUCUUACAGCCAUAGUAUCUUCGGGUUAACCCUUUUACAUGAAGCGAGGAUGAAUGUGUAAGCAGGGUGCUAUGUGUUUGCAUGCUCGCCUCUUGGAAGGGCUAGGUAGUGCGGCUUUGGAGGGUGGGGUGUUACAAGUGGUAUCAGAGCCGACCCUCGCGGUUGCGCGUACGGGUCAUUGUGCGGGCAUAUGGCGCAUGGCACAUGUGGGUUUUGGAUGGGACACACGGCAUGGCAUAUGGCGCCGACACUAGACGUACGGUCAUGCGCUAAGAGGGAACGUUUCUGGACAUUUGCCCAAGUGUGGGUGAGUUGGACCGACGAGGAUGUUGGGUUCUUUGAGGGGGGUGUGUGUGACACCCGACCCAAUUUGGUUGGCUCAGUAGUGACCCAUGAGUGCAGGUGUGCAUGUUUAGUACCACAUUGCUAGUUGAGUAAGGGUGAAGCCAACUUAUAAGGCUCUGUCUUAUAGCCAUAGCACGUUUGGGUUAACCCUGUUACACAAAGCGAGAACGAAAGUGUAAGUACGAUGCUAUAUGUAUUCGUGCCCGUCCCUCGGAAGGGCUGGGCGGUGCGGCUUUGGAGGGUGGGGUAUUACACUGAAGGAGACCAAGAUUACUGAUUCAGAAAUGAACUGGCUUUAUUGUGCAGUUUUGAAGAAGCAAGUCAUUGACCCCUCCUAUAUGAUGAUCGAAAGAUGGCUCGCUGAAGCUAAAUCUGGAACUAGAGUUGUUGGAUCGGGCUGCUAUCUCACUAUGAUAGCAACAUGCUUAAAGCCAGAUAUUGAAAGGCUCCCAGGUUUGUUUAUAAAAGAUGGAAGCAUUGAUGCCAAGACUAUGAAGAAUGCACAUUUGAUCGGCGGCAAUGAAGAAAAUGGCUAUAUAGUUGGGGUGACCAAUUUUAAACUGUCUGAUAGAAGACUUGGAAUUUAUCAUGUGGGCAAAACCAACUGGCUAGAAGAGGAAGUAAUAUUCCCAUUAAAGAAAGACAAAACAGGGCAAAGAAUUGAAGAAGGCUCAUCCUUACAAGCAGCUCCAGAAGUAUCAUUACCACCACCCAGCUCAAGCUUCUAGCAAACUGAGUUCCAAAAUGCACUAGGUUACGAGGGAGUUCCUGAAGGAUGGCAGCAGGAGCAAUGGCAGGAGGUGCCAGUAGAAGCAUGGGUGCAAGGCCCAUUUGCAGCACAUUUUCAGCAGUCGGCGUAUCCACCGCCGCCGGCGGCAUAUGCUUUUCAUGGUUACAUACCACCUCCUUUUCAGGGCUGUCCACCGUAUGCACCACAUCUUCUCAGUUCAGCCACCUGCCACAGCCACAAAGAAGCACAUGUACCAUAGGCGCGUAUGUGCAAACAAAUUUACAAGAUGCAGAUACUAUGAGGCAAGCCACCGAAAGGAUCGAAGAUGGGAACCUAAGCAUCGCUUAUCAGUUCGGUAUGAUGAGACUUGUGCCUCCGAAUCAGUAUCAAGGUAGAGCGCAGAAGCACUACGAGCAGGGAUUCUACAAGUAGUAGCAGCAAGGGGAGCCACAUUUUGAGCCGCCGCAGGAUCAUCUGGAUUGAAGACCGAAGGAACCAAAUAAAUACGCACAUGUGUAGUUUGAGUUUUCUUUCUUUUUUUAUUUGUUUCAACAUGUGUGUUGGGUGUGUGUAGUAUUUUCUAUUUUAUUUUCUCUUUAUUUUCAGUUUGUGUGUUUAUUUCAUCAUGUCAGGCUUAAAUAAAAAUGCAUCACCUGAACCUAAUGAUAUGUGAUUAAUUGUGAUGGUUUAAGUUCUUGUCAUGUUGAAAAAUGAUGAUCGUUGCCACUUUGUUUAAUUUUUGUACUUGGUUAUUGCACCAUUGAACUAAUGCUCUCUCUAACACGAACUAAUUUGUCAUAAACACCAACUUAUCUUUUUGUGGAAGUUAUGGUAAUUUGGACCCAUAUAUUUAUUUAUUUCUCUCUCUUUUAAAUGGAUCAAAGGCUCUUUUAUUUUUGAAUAUCAUUACACUGACCUUGUCAAUAAUACUUCUUGCAAUUGCUCUACCCAUCCAAAGCCAAAUAUUUAUAUCGUGAUGAACCAUAGAUUCCAUGAUUUAUUUUUGGGUAAAUUGAUUCAUGAUUUACUUCUGUGGUAUGAGACGUAGAAGGUGGUCAUUCUUUUUUGUAUAACCCCUUAUUGCUAGCCUUUCAGUCCAUGCAUUAUGGAUUUCUACACUGAAAUCUCGCAAACCUUGCUGGGCAUCAAAAUCUAAACCCAAAUAUAUCAUUUUUGUGACUACCCCCUUGACCACAACCCAAUUUGAGUAUGGAAAAUAUUUCAACGAAGAUUUGGAAGAUUAUUCACUGCCUUUUCAAGAAAAUCAAGACCUGGAGGCAACCACCAGCGCGUGGAAUAAAAAGUGGAAGAAACAGAGGCAAAAAGAGGCCAGACCGAUCGGCCUGGACACCAUCAAGCUGAUCGGCAUGGGGUGUUUUCCCCUCUGUUGCCCUGAAAUUUGGCUUGGAAGUCCCUCCAAAGGAAUGAAAUAAUUUUUUCUAGCAUCGUCUAAGCAUGGGGGAGAGUCAUCGCAUUAUCUCUGACUACUGCUGAGAGAAAGAAAGAAAGAAAAAGAAAAGAAAGAAAUAAAGAAAUCAGAAAAGGAAAAAGAGAAAUAAAGUACUCUUAGUUCUUUGAGCUUCAUAAAGAUCCCAAGUGCUUUCAAGAUUAAAAAUUAUUUCAUACUCAUUUUUCCAACCAUGUGCAAUCCUAUCACGAGAACUUCAUUUGUGUCUCGUGAUCACAUGUUGCCAUUGCACAUGUCGACUAUCUAAAUGUAUGUGUUCAUUCUCUCCCUCUCCACAAAUAAUUAUUUUUCAUGAUCUUUUUGACAAGUCUCAGUAAGAUCCAUCAGAAGUCUUUCUUGUUUUGAUAAUAUCCUGAUUAUAAUAUUUUUGCUAGGACUAACGUCCCAAAGAUCCAGAUAAAGCCUUACACACAUUUUAUAUGAGUGAUGGUAGGUUGGAGAAGUUCUAGUACAUGUUUGAGAGACUUGAUGAGCUGAGAGAACAUGAGCAAUUGCAUUGAGUUUAUGUUGUUGAUCUCGGUUUAGUUUCUUUUUGAAAAAGUUUUAUUGAAAAUCUUCUGAGAUUUGUUUAAAAUUGAGAGCAAGAAAAUUAAUUUUUGCGGGAUGUGCUUAAAUGAUAUCUACCCUCCAUAUAUAGAGAAGGGUGGUUACAACUUGAAUAUUAAUUGAAAAAAAAAUCCUAUGAGAGCAUUAUAUUUUCUUGUGUGUGAUCAAGUGGGGGAUGGAACACCGAAAGGCAACACUGAUUUCUAUUGAAGACUUAUUUGAGGACGAGCAAGGUUUAAGCAUGGGGGAUUGUUGACUCUCGUUAUUGACACACUUUUACCCCCUAUUUAUCUUCAAUAAUGACAUGGAUUUAACACCUAAACUAUUGAUCAUACCAAAUAAACUGGUCAUUUUCACUUGUGCUUUGUAUUUUGGAGGAUAUUCAGUUUUUGCAGGAAAUUGGACUUAAAUGUAUAUUUUUGGAUAAAGCCCUGAACGAGCAACGAACCAGACGAAGAUGAUGGCCAGUGAGCCCAGGAAGGGCCCAAGCUGAUUGGCCUAUAGGGGCCCAGGCCGAUCGGCCUGAGGCUCCCUGGCCCCCUCUCGAGCUCGUUUUUGGCAAACAAUCUUCCAAGAUGACUUAAGGGCUAAGUUUGUAAAGAUAUGGCAAGAAACACUUCGGGAUCAAAGAGAAAUCAAAGAGGAUCAAGCGAAGGAUUGGAAAGUUAUUGAAGAUCAAUAUCAUCCCGAAGCUACCGACGUGACAGGCCCACAUGCAAGUGAAAAUAAGACUCCAGAGCAUCUAAGAAGACUUGGGGACGAAGCAGGAUGCGAGCGGGCAAAAAAGAAGGCCCAGGCCUAACCCACCCAGGCCGAUUGGCCUAGGGUUUCCUUCGCUCCCCCUCUCCUUCCAAUUUUUACCACGUGCCCUCUGAACUAUAAAUACCCCGAAAAACCACUAAGCCCCAUCAUCCAAGAUGACGUACUUGACGUGAAGCAGCAGAGAAGCAGAAAGAGCUUGAGGGACACCUCUCCGGAGAGCCAAGGGCUGUGCAGUUGUCGAGGGUUAGCAUAGCUGAACCUCUGCCGGCGUGAUCACCCUGCGAGGAAGAUCACGCUGGAGUUCUGGAGUUAGGAGUCAUCAAGAUUAAGGUAGGAUCCUGAUGGUGAUCUUGUGAUGUACAAUCAUUCAUGGUGAAGUAAUAGAUGUGUCCAUGUUCUUAGCGAUCUAGAUACCUCAUUUGAAGGUUUUAUGCUUUGUCGGAUUUGCUUGCUUUCAAUCUAUGAAUCGAUGAUAGAUUGCUUAGGAUAUUCUGGUGGUCGUGGUGACCGGAUUUACAUGCCUGAUCUACUGAUGAGUAUAACAUGUUCUUUCGAUCGUGCCUUUAAUCUACCUAUGCUGAUAGAGGGGAUCGUGACGGGAUCUUUCUUGUGUAAGAUAGAGGUUUUGGGAGCCGGACCAAAGGUGUAGAUUUAAAGAUGCUUUUUACUAGGACCAUAUAUGUGUUGUUUUGCUAUCCAUGCUUAGAAUUAAAACAUAUGCAUAGUCUAGAUUGUUUUAGAUUAGUUACAUCUGCUCUAUCUGUUAUCUGUCUGUAAAUGCUUAGUAGAUUUGAUCUAAAUCUCUCAUAAACACUAAGUUAAUACUAACAAUGAUAGUUGAAAUAGAUCUUAUGCUAUAAAGUUCCAUGGAUUGAUAAACCUUGGGGGGAAUACUCUAAGGAAAGAGUUACAACUGAUCCGUACGCUUGUGGUUCACAAAUUAGCGUGCUAACAGUCGUUAACAUCGGGCGGCAACGGCGGGAUGCGGCGUGGGCGGCCACGGCGGUGCCGGAGGUCCACGGGCGCUCGUGCAGCCGCAGCGGUGCCGGACCUCCACGGGCGCUGGUGGGGCCGCGUUGGCUUGACAGUGGCGUGUCAACUGUUUUUUUUUUGAAUUUUUUAAUAGGCUUCACCGCCGGUUUCCAUCCGACAGUGAUGGGUUGAUUUAUCACCACCGAUCAAAAUCUGACGAUUCUAUAAACCAGCUGUGAUGAUGGUUUUGGGACCGGCGGUGAUGAAGAGAUCUGUAGUAGUGGUGGUCCCGUUCUGGCACCACGCACGCUAUGGACUGCAUGACCUAUUACGAUUCUGCCAUACCAUGGAUCUGUCCCCGAUUUCAGCUCCUAGCUAUGAGAUCGACUAGCGCAUCAUGGUACUCUGGAUGUCGUACUCUGUAUAGUGUUCGUCGUUGACUGUUUGCACUCCAAGAGCAUGUAUGCAAACUAAUCUAUGUCGUAAGCGUGGGGGCCGAGAAUAAGCCCAUCAUGAACAUCGGUUAGGAUGAUGAGCUACCCCCAGGCCCCUUGGGCUUUUCCAGCCCACGGAACAAGCAACAUCGAGAGAGAGACCGAGAGAUGCACGUACAGAUUGUUUCUGCCCGUGCUAAAUUAAUAAGCUUUCAUGUUACAUAGAAAGCAAAUAAGUUUAUGUUAGUACCAAACUGCCGUCUCAGUCAUGGCAAGGCCAGCACAAGAGAACCCUCCCCGGACAAGGAACUCGCCAGGCGUCGUGGCGUGCGCCUGUUACUCCAGCCUCGGAGGGUAAAGAGUUGGUAAGCGGUAUGGGGGGUUUCCGUGGGCUUGAGCUCAGGGAUGUGGGCAGAUUUGCCCAGCAAUACUAUCUUCUUUGCUUAGGUGUGUGGUGGUGCACACACGAGGAGGAUGCGUGGGGAAGAAAGUGUUGUUGUUGUGGGCGGCUACCACACCCGGGCCGAGCUGCGUCAAGAGCAGUUGUCGGGUUUGCUUGCAAAAAAAAGGUCAGGACCUCCGUGCUUCUUGCCAAAGCCCCCCCCUAAGCCUUCCAUCCAAGCUCCAAGUUAUCCUCCGCUUGGACUUUCUGGCCUGGUUCCGCCGGUUCCGGCAUCGCCUUGUACCUGGGUGAUCUCAAAUUGGGACACACCAGUGCGGGCGCGGCCACUUUGGUUCCUUUGGAACAUGGGCUCGCUCACAGGAACCCCACCCCAACCCUCUUACAACUCUCUUUUCUUUUUUUGUGUUCACAAAAUGACACGAGUUCGCACAAAGCGGGAGAGUUUUCUGCAUACGCUGGUGUUGUCGUGUUUAGGGUUAGGGCUUGGGGCCAAACAAUUAAAGGAAGGAGCACACACAGACGCACGAAAACGAAACGCUUGAACUGAUGAACAGCUAGCCCUUGUAAACUCCUCGCAUGUAUCACUCUUCAUGCCGGAUUUACACAAAUUUCGUCGUGCCAUCCUGUGGUCCAGCCUACUCUGCUCGGUAGCCAGCAAAGAUCAGGCAUGAAAUUGUAAAAACAUACUGCAUGCACAUAUAUACAAAGGGAUAAUGCAAGUUUUCCCCAACUAACCAUGCCGCAGACACGCAACCAGAUUGCCCGUAUGCAUGUUUCGUAUGUUCAUGUUCAAUGAAGAAGAAAAUUAAGAAAGAUUCUUGUUUUCCAUGGUUCAACCACAACACACAGGGUAGUAGUACAUUACCAGGAGUAUAAUGCGACAUAGCAUGCAUGCAAUCUCUGUAUUGUGAAGCCCCAAACAAAAUAGCUGCCGCCGAUUACCAGAUCAUGUGCUAAAAAGAUUGUUCUUCGCUCAGCCAGUUACGUGAAAGGUGCAGCCGUGCAGGCUGUUGGUAGAAGAGCACUACAGCCUCGUGCACUUCAUCUUGAGUGGUCGUCAACAACCCAAGCGAUCAACCCAAAGACGACGGCCGAUCCGCGAUCCACCGAUCAACCCAAGCGCGCGUGGCGAGGCGGAGAAACGUGAGCCGAUCAUCAGGGUCACGUCGAUCGCGGGUCUCAGUAUCUCACUCGAAGUCUCGAACGAGAGAGGCUCCAAGGCUCGCAAAAUCCUGUCACAGCUUCGGUCUGUCUGAUCCAGCGUGGGCGGAGAAAAGCACAUUUAAUUUCAGGGCCUCCGCGCCUCUCUCGUUGCAAAUUAGCAAGAGGAACUUAAUUAUAGGACCAAACAGAAAAUAAAGCCCACAAAUCCUCUGUUAAUACCGAACCGCUAUCUUUUACCGCGUCGGGGCCAACACAAAGAACCUCCCCGUUGGACUUCAUCGCCGGGCGUCGUGGCGGACGCCUGUGACUCCAGCAGCCUCUUGGAGGGCAAAGAGUUGGCAAGUGGGCUGGUUUGUGGGCUUGAGCCCAUGUUGCUGAUGACGAAAUAUCCAAGAGAAAACGUAUUAUACUUAACUGUGUGUAGUAUAAUAAGAAGCUCUCUUUACGCCAAGUAAAUAAUAAAAAAGAUGCGCAACGGGGACCAACCACUACCGCUUAAGAAGGAGGCUGCAGCAGAAAGAGAGUGGGCGUCACACAUCCGGGCCGUGUAACCCCAGCUGCAUCCCACAGUUCAUCAGGUCCGGUCUCCCGAGUCAAAAGCCACUGUAUGCUUGCGGUAGGGCCUCCGCCUCGUAGACAAUGGGCUCGCUUACAAAAUCCCUUCUAACUAAGUCCUUGUUUAGUUCACCCCUAACUUCCAACUUUGGCACUAUGAAAAAGAAAAGAUUCCCCAUCACAUUAAACUUGUGGUACAUGCAUGGAGUACUAAAUGUAGAUGAAAUUAAAAACUAAUUGCACAGUUUUAUUGUACUUUGCGAGACGAAUCUUUUAAGCCUAAUUAGUCAAUGUUUGGACAAUAAUUCACAAAUACAAACGAAACGCUACAGUGUGCUACAGUGCUAUAAUAGUAAUUUGGCGCCUCCAAACUUUGGCAGGCCCAACUCGUUUUGUUUUCUUAGACUGGACACUCUGUACCUGACACAAAGUAAACCUUAUACGAUGGGACAAUAAAUUUCUAAGGCCUUCAAUUUUCUGGUAGUCGGACGUUAAAGGUUCACAAUUUCUCUUCUGGAGAGGGAGAGAGGUUCUUGGUUUGGUUUCCGGAUAAGUUUGAGGGCCCAACAGAAUAUAUAUAUUACUAAUGCAAGCAUGCGGUCUCUAUGCUGUGUAAGCCCCAAAAUAGUUGUUGCUGACAUAUCCUCUGGAAAAACAUAUACUUUUCGAUCAAGCAGCUGAGCGAAUAAUUAACACUUGUUAUCACGUGUUAACUUUCCUUUCCUCCCCCUUUUUUUUUCUUGAUUCUUGCUUCUUGAGUCUCCCUUAGCCCCAACACAUAAUUUCUAUAGACAAUGUCAAUAAUACUAUUAUGUCAACAAAAAAUUCCCUUUAAAAACUAUAUAGCCCCAAUACAUGAUUUCUACGCAUGUGCCCAUAAUAAUUUUUUUAAUCUCUCUCCUCGUCCCUCUCUCUCAAUCCUACUAUCAUUCACGUACUGUCCAUUCUCCAUCUAGGCCAGUGUUGGAUUUAGGCUCACAUGUGGCCCAAUCUAAAAAUUCCAAAGCAUGCACAACCUUUAGUCCUAUAUUGCUAAUUCAAGGAGAUGUUGCCUUGCUUAAAUAUGAGAGUCUCCUCUCUAUAUAGGAGCAAAUGAGAGAGAAGGAGACUGUUGCUACACGCACACGCAGAUCGCGCGCAUUUUUACGUGAAAAAUCGCGUGACUUGUGACUUGUGACGAGCGCGACGUGUACGUGUACAACAGGCUAUUGUUUGUGUAGUUCUUUUUUUUAUGCUAAGCCUAAUGGCGCUUCAAUGUGAUUGAAACUGCCGUUUUAAUAGCAAUAAGGUGCGUCAGUUUCUACUGCUUGAUGAGGGGAUUGAUGCAUUAUGAAGGCCUAUAAUACUAGGACGUCUUUUUUUUAUGCUGAGCCUAAUGACGCUUCAAUGUGAUUGAAACUGCCGUUUUAAUAGCAAUAAGGUGUGUCAGUUUCUACUAUUUGAUGGCAGCAGUUUCUGUCAUUCAAAUAGGCAGUUUCUACUGCUUGAUAAAGGGAUUGAUGCACUAUGAAGGCCUAUAAUACUAGGAGACGUCCUGGUUGAUGGGUUACGCUGUUACACGCUCGCCUUCCCACUCGCUGCGCUGAAUCUCUUGCUGCUGCGCCUCGUCACCCUUCGAAUUCGGCGUGCACCGGGCUUGAAGGAAAGCGGGAUCUCCGAAAUCACUGUCGCGAGACUCCUACAUGGGACGGCAAUCAGGUUUUUGGGCAGCGUCUUCACGCGACCGCUUGGUGAUUCUGCAACAUUUGCUACAACACGUUCGACUACGGUCUGCGCGGGAUUAUUGAGUAAUUUUCUUGCACAACCUUAUUCUAGACAGUAUGUUGCCUGCUUACUUGUUUUAUUUGCUUGCAUCAUUUUUAAUCAAUGUGUUUUUUCCUCCAAAUAAAAUCUGGAAUGUUUUUUAGGCACAUAUUUCUAAAAGCGAGUACAACACAGACACCAGUGAGCUCAAGGGCGAGCAUCGUGUGGUGGCAAGAUGGCAUGUCGAGCGCCCUGCCCGGGUGCACGGCCUCACGUGAGCCAUCUGGUUAGGGCGUUAGGCUCAGGACAAGUGGCAGACGACAACUUCAAGCUAGUGCGCGUUAACUACAAGCCCUUGGUGAGCUGCAUCCGACGACCCGAUGAGGUCUAGGCGGCGUGGCAAGCUUGGUGGAGAGUUCGAGCGGUACAUAAUAGGCGGCACACGGUUGGCUAGGGUGGCUUCUCUCUUCUGCCUUUCUCCCACGAUAGAUGCGAUGACAAAAGGCUGGGCACGGGCUCCCAAUGGAGGGUCCCACAAAGCGCGUGAGGAAGAGAUCAUGGCUCGCCCUAUCGUGUUCUUGCACGUGCCUUUUUGCGUUGGUGCGAGCAUCGACUUAGUACCUGAGAAAGGUUUUUCUCUCUUUCUCAAUAAACUCUUUGUGCUAAUCACUAAUUUGCUGUUAUUAUAGAAAACAUCGAACCCAGAGAUUUGGGACUACCCUAGCUCAAUUUGCUGUUAUUAUAGAAAACAUCUAACCUAGAGAUUUGGGACUACCCUAACUCAAUUUGCUAUUAUUAUAGAAAACAUCUAACCCGAAGAUUUGGGACUACCCUAACUCAAUUGCGAUGCCAUCUUUUUGUUUACAUAGCACACUAAUUAAUGUUAUAGAAACCAUCCAAAGUCAUUCUAUUAGAGCAACUUUGGCGAAAACAACCCUCUACCGCAAAAUUAAAGGGCCAAGCUAAAAAAACAUAUUCCAACAUGCCCUCUACUAAAGGUUCCAAUUUCAGGGAGGACUCCAAAUUCAUUCCCCCCUCCACCCACCAUUCCUGGAAUCUAUAGGGUGCCAUCUAUCCAUGGACCCCACCCACCUACCUUUCUUCUUCCACCCUCCCACCCACUUGACUUCACUAGUGCUACCUUCUAUGACUCUCCUCUAGCUCAGUCUCACGCCCACCUUCGACGUUACUGUCGAUCGCCGCCCCUGUGCCGGUGAUUGAAUCCACUAGUAGCGUUCGACGCCCUUCACUUGAUCUGGUGAGCCGACCUUGCUGCCCGCUCCGCCCUCCUUUGACCGCCAGCAUCGCACGUGUCUCCUCCAAGAGGGUGCCCACCUCCAAGGUCCAAAGCAAGGUCAAGGUUCGCCAUUGCGAUGAGGUCUGUCGUAGGAAUCCGUUCGCUCUACACUCUAGGUGGAGUUCCUCCACACCCAAGCCUCCAUAUAGCGCCUGCCGUUGCUCCCUCCCGCAGCGUAAAUGGUCACUCUGCCCCAAUGCGUCGGCAAACCGAGCGGCGUGAGAGAAAGAGGGAGCAAAAUGAAGAGAAGGAAAUGGAAGAAAAAAUAGAGAAAGUAGAAUGCCGAGUAACUAAUGAAUGGAUCCCACGUCCAUGUGUCAUGAGAUAAUAGAGAGUUAGAACUGAGGGCAGUUGUUGGAGUUCAUGUAAGUUUUGACUUUUUUGAGAGCCUGAAAAAAAAUAUAGGCAGCCUCCAUUUUGCAUUUGGAGGGUUUGAUUUGAAGCUAAUGAUGGAGUUGCUAUCGGGACUUACCUUAACUUCGCACAAGAGACCAAACACGGAAAUACAAGAAGAUCAGCUGUGUUUCCCCAAUGAUAUCACAUGGUACUUUUUCUGUGACGAUCUUGCUGGAGGGAAACGGUGGAUGCACUACUGCAUGGUCGACCUUUAGUACCGGUAAGGAAACCUCCCUUUAGUACCAGGCGCUCGCCCCGCACCGCUAGCUCAAUCGGUACUAAAUGCAAUAUUUAGUAAUGGUCGAUGAAACCAACCGGUACUAAACUGUGAGCCAUGCCGCGCUGUUGCGCGUGGCACUUUAGUACCGGUUGGUUUUACUAACUGGUACUCAAUAUUAUUCCUUUUGUUUUUGUUUUUGCCCUUUCAUUUUCCUUUUGUUUUAUAAUUCGUAUUCGUAUCCGAUGGAGCAUUACUACUAAUAUUACCUUAAUAUAUUAAUCCAUUCAAAUCCAAGUCUUACAAGUAUCAACCCAUUCAAAUCCAAGUCACUCAGUGAGGGAUAAGGGUACCCACGGGUCCCCACUGACCAGGAUACUGGUUGGCCCUGACAGGUGGGCCACCUAACAACGUCGUGCGGGCCAAGGCAUGAAGACGCGUUGAGCACAAGCUAGGAUGUCGGGCGAAUCAAUUCAGCUCGGAUAUCACGGAAUAUUUGUUGUAAACCAAGUUAGAUUGCUUUCCAUGUAACAACCAACUAGGAUUAGAUCAUAUCUAAUUGUAACCUUAGGUUGUUAGCCUAUACAAGGCGACCAGGGGCGCCCCCCGAGGGGUACUCAUCCCACCUCACGUUAACUCUUCGCAUCUGCGAUCAGCAAUACAAUCCACAAGAACACAAGACGUAGGGCAUUACUCUCCGGAGGCCCGAGCCUGUCUAAACCUUGCGCUCCUAUGUUACCAUUCGAGUUCUUGAUCUUACGAUCUCCCCCGCCUACAAAUCUACCACCUUGGUACCCCCUAGUGGACUGCUGGUCACCAAAUCCGAGAGUUGGCACGCCAUGUAGGGGUGAUCAUGAGAUCCUCCCCAGCGAGCUCGAUGGCAUCCCGUCCCGGCAUCAUCUUCCCUGAAAGCAUGAAGGACUUCCUCGCCAAUUCGAUCCAGCUCCGCUCUGAGAGCAUGCCGGUGGACUCCAACUCUGCCGCCUCCAUCGCCGACUCGGUGUGCGCUUCCAGCUCGGCAUCUGUCGGACCUGCAUCGACGGAGCAAGGUCUACACCUGAGGAUCAUCAUGUCACUUGCUCAGCAGGUUGACGAUCUCCCUUUCUCAGAGAGGAUCCCACACAUCCUCACGGCAACCCACCCACCCACACCCUUCGAUAUGAUCGCGGGGCUAGAUCACAUCAGCAAUACCAUUGUUGAGUGCUUCAACCUCUCCGAGGUGGCACUACGUCCUGGAAGGUCGACACAGGACUCUCCUCGCACCCUUUUUAACAUCAAGAACUCGGCUGCCGUGUUUUUCGAAAAACUCGUGCAGUCUUUCUAGAUCCAAUCUGACGAUCCAGCUGAACCCAUCUAGCUUUCGGAUUGCGACGAGUUCCAAGUCUCUCACUUCGCCCUAACCCUAAACCCUUACAGCGAGGGCGACGGCGGAAGCUCUACAUCACAAGAUCGGGAAGUCUUCGCUGUCUUCACCAACGAACCUCCUAGGACUUAAAAGCUAUGUACUCUUUUUACAUUUCGCAUUGAAUAAAUAAAACCUCAGAGGUUCUUUGCGUACCUACUACCUUCUUGUUUUCUUACCUGUGCCCUUACUCAUGCUCAGGGGCUGUCCGAUCUAAUUGACAGACCAUACCCUCACUGUUAUGCUCGAGGGCUUCCUCCGUUACGCGCCGAACUUCGGGUCUCACCCCUUCUCCUACCCCUUUCACGGCAAAUAUGACUAACUCAAGUGGACAACAUCCUAGCUCGUGAAACCCAAACAACUUUGCAUCCGCCCCCUCUACAAGCUCAAGAUCCGCUCUUAGCAGAGUGCUGGCCAGGCAAGGCUAGGCACUUAGCGGCUACAGGCCUAAUCUACAUGAUGUCCUGAUGUAUACACCAAAGGAGGGAUGGACGCUUUCCAUUUGCACAAGUUAAUUGCCUAGCUUACUUGUCUCAAAAUACAAAUUGAUACACAUCAUAGUUUUUCCAUUACAGGUCCAACUCUUUGACUACCUCCUCUGCGCCUUGUUGAUACUGGUCGGCCAACUUCGGAAGGCUAUCAGGAUCGAAGCCCUUGGCAAUCCCCGCUCCAACGCGCUCUAUGGCUAGGCGAGGGAAAUGCAUCUUGAGAAGCGCAAUAACAUUCUUCGUGCACUCUACGGUAGUAUCCUUCAUCAGCGCCUUCAGCCGACCAGGAGUACUUCUCAGACGAUCCAGCAGCAGCGUAGGCUCGGUGGGAUUGGUCUCGGGAUGAGUCCUGACUCGAUUCUCUUCAUCAACAUCCGUCGAUCGCAACAACCAAGAUGGUGCCAGACUGCAAGGACGACGACGAUCAUUCCACCUUGGCAUGAAUCAAGCUAACUCUUAUUUUCAAUUAAAUAUUUUACGACUUUUGUAUAACUCCACACGCCUUCGUUCUCCUAUGUCUCUGUGACUUUCACCGACCACCCUGGUCAUACCCUGACUGCUCAUAUAACUUGGUCCGUCCACUAAAUGGGUAGUCGGGGCUAAGCACGGCUAGGUGCUUAAACGUAAUAGGCUAACUUCUGAGGAAAUUACAUAGCCCACAAGAGCAGGACACGCAAGAAUUUACUUCUACGCCGAAUAAAACUAUGUGUUAUUCAAUUAUUAAAUACUCUACAUUAUGCCACAUAAUCUUUGUAUUGUCCUUUUAUAGUUCUAAAACUACUCGACGUGCCACCCAUUGCCCAGCCAACCUCUCUGGCUCAAGGCGGGAGGUGACUCGGAGUGCUUCCGUGGCACGGCCGGCUCCCAGGCUAGGGGGUUGGGCGCCACAGAUGACUCGGCAUGCCUCCCACUGCUCGACCGACCUAGGCUGGGCGGGUGGCGACUCGGCGUGCCUCCCACUGCUUGACCGACCUUGGCUGGGCAGGUGGUGACUUGGCGUCCUUUGGUGCCUUGGCGUUCCUCCCAGGCUUGGGGGCUGGGUACCACAGAUGACUCGGUGGGGGCGACUUGGCAUGCUUUGGUGGCCCAGUCGGCUCCCACGCUCGAGGGCUGGGUACCAUAGAUGACUCGGCGUCCCUCUCGUUGCUCGACCGACCUCUCUGGCUUGGAGCGGGAGGUGACUCGGUGUUGGAGGUAUGCCCUAGAGGCAAUCAUAGAGAUGAUGAUAUUCCAUUGUAUCCAUAUUUUAUAUUGUGUUCCUUGGAUAUCCAUUAAAGGCUAUUUGAAUUGAUAUGCAAUUAUGUGAAUUGUUUGUGAAACUCUUUACUUGUAUGGUUAUUCUAAAAGUUAUCCCUAGUCGGAGUUCAUGUGAGGACACACAUGAAUAUUAGACUAGCACAUGUAUUAGUUGAUGACUAUAUUUCACAAGUCAUGGACAUAAAGAUGUCAAACUAAUAAUGUGGGCACGUGUAGAGAUAUGUGCUAGGACUAACCCAACACGAGAUGUAGUUCUCUCUUUACACAACAUGUACGCUUUGUCCUUAGACCUGAGAUUGUCGCAUGUACUCAAGAUGUGGAUCGACUUACUUAGGGGCUAUCAAACGCUACAUCGUAACUGGAUAGUUAUAAAGGUUGCUUUCGGGUUUGCCAAGAAGCAUGCUUUGAGGUAUGGUCAGUCAAGAUGGAAUUUGCCCCUCUCUAUUUGAGAGACAUAUCUCUGGGCCCCUCGAGUGAUCGGAUCCGAAAAUGCAUGGCCAUGCUACGUGAGGUUAAGAGUUAACCUAGAAAGGGAUUUCGAAUCAUAGCAUCGAGAAAGAGUGGUCGGCUUGGAGCUAGACCAAAUAUCAUGAGGCAAAGGGAAUAGCAUGUACGUGAUGUUGUGAUGGUUCGUCUGAUAUGAUCUUCGUGUGCGUAUAGGAGUUGGCACGUCUUACUAGACGCCGCUACCAGCUAUUGGGCGAGUAGGAGUACUCGCGCCAUGUCUAUACGUAUACGAACCUAUAGGGUCACACACUUAAAAGGCUGGAAGCCCAAUUCGGAUAUGAUCUGAGUUAGAACAGGUUUAGGAGUACUAAUGGGCCUCAGACCCAGAGGCCCGUUAGGAACCCCUAUAUAUUGAGGGGUGGGGGCGCCCUAGGGUUCACCCCUUUUUGGCCAAACCACAGCUGUGCCCCUUCCCACGCUCUCACCUCUGUUGCAACACGCGGACCUAGUAGUCCAGCUUGCGACACUUCCUCCCCGCACGUUCGGAUACCUUGGAGGUGCUGCAUCUGCAACACUUGGAUGAGCCACCACAUGAGAGCUCUGACAAAGAACCUGACGAGCCGACGAGAAACCUGACAAGCCGGCACACGAGGAAGACGCCGCUGCACGUGGAUGAGCUGCUAAGGACCUGCUGGACGAGGACGUGUUCGACUACACUGCGGCGACGUGUGAUCGACUACACUGCCCCGACACGCUUCAUCAACUUCUGCAUCUGCGCGUCUAGUGGUAAUCUCGUGAUCCAUAUACGGCAGUUUUCUUGGUUUACACGGUAGAAAAUUUUGUUUUGGGAUAGCGUAGCCUACCUCGUAUCCCUACACUCGGUGUGCUUCCAUGUCUGAGCUGGCUCCCGGGCACGGGGGCUGGGCGCCACAGAUGACUCAGCGUGCCCCCCGUUGCUCAACCGACCUAGGCUGGGUGGGUGGCGACUUGGCAUGCUUCCAUGGCUCGACCGGCUCCCAGGCUCGAGGGCUUGGUGCCACAGACGACUCAGUGCACCUUCCAUCGCCCAGCCAACAUCUCUGGCUCAGGGCGGAAGGUGACUCGGUGUGCCUCCGUGGCUCCACCAGUCCUCGCGCUCGGGAGCUGGGGGCCUAGAUUUGGUCGGCAUGCCUCCUUAGCUCUGCCAGUCCUCGCGCUCAGGGGCUGGGCGCCUACAUUUGGUCAGCGUGCCUCCUUGGCUCCGUCAGUCCUCGCGCUCAAGGGCUGAGUGUCGGGGAUAGAUCCCCAGUACCCGCAAGGAAGGAAGAAGAUGGACUCCAACUAGGACUCCUCUGUAAUCCUAUUAAGACUCAUACCAUGUAAACCUACUACUACUCCUACCUUUUAACCGACUAGUAAUCUCACCCCCUGAAGUAUAUAAAGGAGGGCAGGGGUCCCUAGAUCGGUAGGCGAACACCUCAUAGAACCACAACAGAGGACCAAAUCCUUAACACCAAACAACACCCAAGUGCAGGGUGCAAUAUACAACACCCCAAACAGGACGUAGGGUAUUACGCUACUCUAGCGGCCCGAGCCUAUAUAAAUUCGUGUAUUGUGUCCUCGUUUUUACCUUCGAGUUUCAAGUUUGAUGAUCCCCCACCAACCAAUCUACUACCUCGAGAUACCCCUCAGUAGGUUGUUGGGUAUAAAACACCAACAUCUGGUGCUCCAGGUAGGGGUGAUCGUCGAGAUCAUCGGGCGAGCUUGGAGGACCUCAUCAAGAUCAAUCUACUCUACAAGACAAGAACGUUGUUCUGCAUCCAAUUGACGACUCGGUGUGCAACUGCAUCGGAGUCCAAGGAGAAGUCACCAGAUAGGCUAAUUCUGAGCUAGCAUCUAAUCUUGCCGAAUUGGAAUUCGAAACGGAGUGCGGAGUGGAGCAAUUCACCUACCGUUGAUCGUCUCCAAUCAUCAAGAUCAAGAUGGAAUAGAAUUGGAUGGCGUCAAGAUGGAAUCCUAAAGGGAAUCGAUUUCCUUAGUCGAGUUCAAAGUGGAGACCAACUUUGUUGAUCGGAGAUGGAAAAGCACGCCAAGCAUCAAAAUAAAGAAACAACUGUUGUUGUUCCCUCUGGCACUGGAAAUCAAUGGUGUAUUCAGCUAUGCGCACACCAAAAAGCUACCAGAAGGACUUUAGCUUGCAUGGCAACACCAACAAAUCUUCGACGAUGCGAUUGACUACUUCUACAAGAGCAAGACAUCUAUGUCAGCUCGCUAAUGACUACUUCAACUACUCAUCUCGACUAGAAAACUAGUCGAGGGCGGGCACCAUACCGUGGACAACUAGUCGGAAUCAACUCCGACUAGCCGGCUUCAUCAACAACCGUCGUGGCUUCAUCGACAAUCAUUCAUGAAUCAAGCUAAGUCACUUUUUUAAUAAUUAUGUUUCUCUAACUUGUUUUCAACAUGGUUUGUGAAUGCGCCGACUACUUAUUUUGUGUAUGCCUCUUGAUGGAAUUACCCUUCAGAGCUACACUUCACCGACUACUCUUAGGGCAUGAUGCCGACAGUCAUGGGCUUGGUACACCGAAUUACGGAGGCUAUCACCAUGGGUUUGGUGCACUGAGUUCCGGAAGCUCUACCACGGGCUUGGUACAUCGAAUUAGGAGGCUCUGUGAUGAAGUUUGGUGCACUGAGUACUGGAGGCUCACAACAGCUACACCCUAGUGAGGCACAAAUCCUAUGCGCGGCAAACACGCGCUCUCCUCGCCAAAAGGCAGAGAAGUCUUAAUGACUACUUUACACGCAAUCGCACAGUCUUUUUGUCACAAUACCGACUACUUAUUUUAAAUGUCUUCUCUUAGCGGUCACUAACUUUCUCGAACAGAACAUGCCUCAAUUCGUGAAAGCCUCGGAUCUUCUGUCAUGCCUAAACGCUAGGACGCAAGACAAAGAUGUCCGUAGCAGCAAUGCUAGUACCCGUACACGAGACAAAGAUCUCACACGCAGCGGCAAUGGCUAAAUAGGGACUGAGAGCCUAAACGUAAUAGGCUAACUACUUAGAGAAAUAUGACCGAAACAAGAGCAUGACACCCAACAUUUAUAUUCAUCAAUGAAAAAAUUUCAGUAGUUCCAAAUUCUACAAAUAUGCUACAUAAUGUAACGAUGACUCUCCAGGACGUUCAGUGUACCAACAAUGGCUCCACUAGCUCCCAGGCUCAGGGGCUAAGCGCCAAUCACUACUCAAAAUAUCUCUAGUGGCUCAGCUAGCUUCCAAGCUCAGGGGCUAAGCGUCAAAUAACUACUCAACGUGGCUUCUAUGGCUCACCUGGUGUGUAAGCUCAGGGUCUGGAUGCUAAAUGACUACUCGAAAGAUGACUUGCGUGAAGACUAAAGACCCUCGGAUUGAUAAGCUAUACCCAACAGUUAUUUUUUUCAAGAUGAAAGAUGAAGAUUCAAGAUUUUAUUGACUCUCAGCCUGAUUCUUCGAUUCAACCUAAGGCUCAGAGGCUAAUCCAUAUGCAGUUCGACUUCCGCUGCCCUCCAUAUCACAUUCCACGAUGAAGAUUACAAAAUCAAGACGAUCAAGGGCUUGAGCACACCAUAGCCUCAUGGCAACUUUGAAGAACUUUGAAGAUUCAGCCAGACAAAGUACUCGAGGAGCACUAAUACUACUCGAUGAGGAUCUGAAAAGUACUUGAAGACUGCUACAUUCGGCUAUGAAGCGCUCGGGGGCUUGUCGGGAUAGAUCCCCAGUACCCGCAAAGGAAGGAAGAAGACGGACUCCUACUAGGAUUCCUUUGUAAUCCUAUUAGGACUCAUACCAUGUAAUCCUACUAGCACUCUUACCUUAUAACCGACUAAUAAUCCCACCCCCUGAAGUAUAUAAAGGAGGGCAGGGGUCCCUAGACUAGUAGGUGAAGAUCUCAUAGAACCACAACAGAGGAGAAAAUCCUCAACACCAAACAACAUCCAAGCGCAGGGCACAAUAUACAACACCCCAAAUAGGACGUACGGUAUUACGCUACGCUGGCAGCCCGAACUUCAAUAAAUUCAUGUAUUGUGUCCUCAUUUUUACCUUCGAGUUCCAAGUCUGACGCUCCCCUACCAACCAAUCUACUACCUUGGGAUACCCCUCAGUAGGUUGCUGGGUAUAAAACACCGAUACUAGGCGUCCUACUUUGGUCCACGUGCCUUCGUGGCUCUGCCAGUCCUCGUGCUCAAGGGUUGGGCGCCCUAUUUUUUGUCGGCGUGCCUCCCUGGCUUCACCAUGACUCGCAUUCCAGCGCUGGGCGCUUCAUCUUUGGGUUAAUAAUUCAGCUACUAAACGAUAAGAAAUUUGACCCUUGGACCGAUUACUUUAAUCGCUUCAAUGCUCGGGCAGGGCACCUGUCUCAAGGUUAGUGUGCCUCUUUGGCUCCGCCAAUCCUCGCGCUCGGGGGCUGGACGUCUAUUUCAGGUUGGUGUGCCUCCGUGGCUCCGCCAGUCCUCGUGCUUGGGGGUUGGGUGCCGUAUUCAAGUCUGUGCACUUCUGUGGCUCCACCAAUCCUCGCACUCGGGGGCUGAGCACCUAUUUCAGCUCGGUGUUCCUCCAUGGCUUUGCCAGUUCUCACACUCCAGGGCUGGGUGCCUAUCUUAGGUCGUCGUGCCUCUUUGGCUCCGCCAGUCCUCGCGCUCCGGGGCUGGGUGCCUAUUUCAGAUCGGUGUGCCUCCGCAGCUCCGCCACUCCUCGCGCUUGGGGGCUGGGCAACUAUUUCAGGGCGGCGUGCCUCCUUAGCUCCGCCAGUCCUCAUGCUCGGGGGUUGGGCAACUAUCUCAAGUUGGCGUGCCUCCUUCGCUCCGUCAGUCCUCACGCUCAGGGGCUAAGCACCUAUUUUACGUUAGUGUGCCUCCUUGGCUCCACCAAUACUCGCGCUCGGGGGCUGGGCACUAUAUUUGGAUCCGUUUUAUGACGGAAGUAAUACAUCAGAUUCUUGACCAUUGGACUAAUUACUUUAAUCUCUUCAAUGCUCGGGGGCUAUUCCAUAUAGAGUGCGUCUUGCGAAACCCUCCACGUGCUUCCCUUUGAUCUACAGGAUGCCAAACAUCCCGGAGCUCAGCAGUCAUAGCCAUGCGCAUUUGGUCAUAUGCCUAUGAAAGCUUCAAUUUUUCUUCCUUUUUUGAGCAUUGCGCAGCCUCUCCAUCACUAUGACAACACCACACCUUCACCUGAGUACAUUACAAGCUUCGUUGCGCAUCCGUCAGGUUCCUGUUCAACUCCACAUCGCUCGGGGGCUUGAGGGAUAAGGUUGCUCACGGGUCCCCACCAACCAGGAUACUAGUCGGCCCUGAUAGGUGGGCCCACCUGCCCACAUUGUGUGGGCCAAGGUAUGAAGACGCGUGGAGCACAAGCCAGGAUGUCGGGCAAAUCAAUUCAGCCCGGAUAUCACGGGCUACUUGUUGUAAACUGACUUAAAUUGUUUUCCAUGUAACAACUGACUAGGAUUAGAUCCUAUUUUAUUGUAACCCUCAGUCGUUAGCCUGUAUAAGGCGGGUAGGGGCGUCCCCCGAGGGGAACUCAUCCCACCUCAUGUUAACUCUUCGCAUCUGCGAUCAGCAAUACAAUCCACAAGAACACAGGAUGUAGGGCAUUACUCUCCGGAGGCCUGAACCUAUCUAAACCUUACGCCCCUGUGUCACCUUUGAGUUUUUGGUCUUAUGAUCUCCCCCGCAUACAAAUAAACCACCUGGGUAACCUCCUGGUGGACUGCCGGACACCAAAUCCGACAUCAAUACUAAGUUCUUAGAGAGAACAAGUUCAAAUCUAUAAGAAAGGGUAGGGGUACAUCCAUGCAAGUUACAUAUUUCAUAGUACUACUCGCUUCACUUCCUUAGAUAUGGAACAUAGUUGAGGUCUCCAAUUUCCCAUCUUAGAACUUCAUCAAAAAAAGUUAGAGCACGGAUGAGUGCACUCUCCUUCGCUUCACAUGGAUGGUCACAUACACUACUAUAAAUCAUGAACAAUGGAGAGGUUAACUGAUUUGGCCUGUAGAAAGUGAGAUGAGCCUGGAACUUCCGAUCUAUGGUGAAUAUGGGGUUUCCAUCCAUGUAAGUCAAAUCCAACACAUCCAAGACUUAGGCCAGAAUCGCACAAAAGUUCAUUGCCGCAUUGGUUGUACCAAAGAGAUCCUAAAAGAUGAUAAUAACGUUAUGAAAGUUCAAAUAUGUCACAUAACUAAAAUUAAAAGAAUGAUAAAAGAAUGUUGCAUACCAUGUCAUGUUGAUUAAGCCGACAAAGCCUCUCAGCAGUCACAAGCACAUUGCUUUCUCUCUCCUCGAACCAUUUUAUCUGAAAAUAUGACAAGUCUGGCACAAAGUUCCCAUGAUCCUUAAGCUGAUGUAGGCAGACCUCCACGGCAGUCCUCUCAAAAUUUACCCUACUUGGUGCUAUUUGACCCCAUGCAGCAAUUGAAACCAUCGGGAUGGCCUCUCUUGGUGACAUCGAGGUGAAAUCUGUUUCUCAAACAGGUACUUGAAAAGGGAUGUGUACUCUUUUAAAUUGAGAUUCACCAACAACCUCGGUUUGCACUACAGUAGAAGUACCACCUAAAUCUUCGACAACAUUUUUGAGCCAUCUAAUUGUGUUGAUAAUCUACAUUGUAUGUCAGUUAAUUUAGAAAAUAUUCAUUUGUAGUAAAAAAUCAAUUACAAGAAGGAAAGAAUAUUACUAUAUUGGGAACUGAUCGUUUGCUUCGAUCGCCUUGUGGCAAGUCAAUGAUGCCAUGAGGGAAGUGAAUUCCUGGACAACGAGACAACGGCUCCAUGAACAUGUAGUCUCCACGGCCGCCAGCACCACGGCUGCCACCACCACGGUGAAAAGAACUUCUAUUAGCCAUAGUUAGCCCAAACUAUCCAAAUAAAAUUGAAAUAAGAUACAUUAUUCUUCCAACAUCAAUUUCAAUAGUAAUUACGCCAUAAAACAUCAUAAUUCAUGAAAUGCUAAGAAUAAAAGAUUGUCCAAAAUAACUAAUAGCAAUCAAACAUCAACUUCAAUAGUAAUUACGCCGCAAAACAUCAAUAGAAAUUUACAAUUGUUGGUUUAGAUCUCAUGUACAUUAUAAUAACUAAUCAAAACACAUUUAUUAUCAUAUUGCAAUUGCAUGGAUUAAAAAUGGAAAAAAGGAAAAAAAACAACCAGGGUGCUCGGGGAGGAGGCAGUGUGGCAGUGAGGAGGUGGCCUCGGCAUCGGGAAAGAGGCGACGUGUCGGGAGGAGGCGGCGUCGGGGAUGGGGGUAGGGAGGAGGUGGCGCAUCGUGAGGAGGCAGUCCAGCGGGAAGGAGGCGGCCCAACAGGGAGAAGGCGGCGGCGAGGAGGCGACGCGUUGGGGAUGGGGCGCCACUGGGAUGGAGGGAGGAGGCGGCACGUCGGGAGAAGCCGGCGUAGUGGUGAGGAGGCGGCGUUGGCAGUGUGGAGGAGGCGGCGCAUCAGGGAUGGCGUGCCGCAAGGAUGGAGGGAGGAGACGCCGCAUCGAGGAUGAGGCGCCACGGGGCUGGAGGGAGGAGUCGGUGCAUCGGGAGGAGGUGGCAUCGGCGGUGGGGAGGACGUGGCGCAUCAGGGAGGAAUAACUGCAAGGGAAGAAACUACUAAGUGUUUGGAGAAGAUGAAGUAUUUGUAGGUGGACAAUUAGUACCGGUUAUAGCAGUACUAAAGGUGCUAAAUGGCGGGGGCAGAAAAUUGGAGCAUUAAGUACUGGUAAUAGCCUUUUCCCGGUACUAAAUUGCUCCAUUUAGUAUUGGGCAGGGCUUCUAACCGGUACUAAAGUUACUAAAUGGCGGGAGCUAAAACUGCCUAGCCAGCAAUUUCCUUUCCCGCGCACACUGUCUUAAUUCUAAUAAAAGAUAUCAAUCGACAAGGUUGUCACAUGUGUGUAUAUGAAAUAGUAGAGAUAAAAAAUUAUCACAAAUAUUAACUAGAGUACAUUACAUAUGAAAUUCAUCAUACAUAUUAAAUCUUACAUAAAUGAGAUACAUAGAACCUAAGAUUGUCCACAUCAUGCUCAUUAAUCAUCGCAACAUACAAUCUACGAUUAAUAUCGAUAAUGUCGAUUCCUAAUAACCUAUCGACAUAAUCUAGUGCAUAAUAUCCCUAGCCUUGUAAGGCAUGUGGAAUGUCUCUCCAAAUAUUCUCACUGAAGUCGUGGAUGAUGAUAAGGUAAUGUCAGUUUGCCAACCGCCACGUACUCGACCCGGGUCAGCUCUUGUGAAUGUCCAGCCAAUGUUCCCCAGUACCUGACGUAGGACUUCUUUUAGACUUUGGUCGGCGUGUAUGAAGCUAUUAUACAGUGCAUCCUUGAGUCAAAUGGCAACAAAAAAAGUGUUAGUAUUCAAACACUAACAAUGUGACGUCCGGCUCAUCAUAUUCGGACGCUUUAAUCUUCUAAUCUUCUAGUAACUAUAGUUUGGAAAUAUGUUAUUUGUAUGACGUUCUAUUUGGAUCAGUGCCUGCCUCACAGCACUACAUGCGGCAACAUGUGGCUGUUGUCGCACAACAGAAUUGACAUAGAUAAUAUUUGUUUGACCAAGUCUUUGCUCUCAUGCCUGCAGUAUUAAUGGACAAAGAAACCACAUAUCUUCCUUAUGUCGGACUCGUUUGCUCAUGUAUCACCAUAGGAGCUUGUUCAGUCACGUUAAUUAUUACUUGUCAUAACCACUCGAUUGGUGAAACAAGCGCCAAUACAAAUUAUAAAAAAAAUAUUAGUACGAUGUAGUGAGUAAUAAAAUCAGUUUAGAGUACAAAGGGUAUAAGUAUCAUGUUUCGGUGUAAGUCCAGUUGUGUAAUGGGUACGGGUUCAUGACCGACGGGAAAGGAAGCGCCAGCAGGCUGUGCUAGAGGAUUCGAGGGAAACGACGGGACAUUUUGUUCAAGGUUGCGACGUAUUGGCAUUUUGUCCUACAAAAUUUUAUCAAAUACAUAUCAUUCACUAGUUUGAGAAAAAAAAAGAAAAAUGCUUCAUACAGUGGACUUCACGGAGUUAAGAAUCCUAAAAUAAUGGUAGAACAUUAUUUUCUCAAUCACUAAUAUCAAUACGUCGGAUCCCACCAGCUCUUUAGAAUGUUCCUGUUCACCUCGGAUUUCUCAAUUAAAAUCAUAUUGUUCAUGCGAAUUCCAAGUCUAUGGAGAGCCACCUCCAAUCCUCCAGUACCAGAGAAUAGUGUAAGCACAUUCAUGCCAUGUGUAGAUACUGUUCUCUGGUAUUGGAGAAGCGGAGAUGGUACAUCCAUUGCCGGUCCAUCCGCAUCGUAUUAUGUGAAAAAUUGAGGGCUUCCUAUUAGAUAAAGAACUUGGUAGUGAAAAAAUAGAGUAAAUUUGUUUACAGAUAAAUUAUUUCUUCUCAGUAUAAAAUACUCUCCAUUCUAAUAAAUUAACAGGUACUCCAUUUAUAACAUAAAACUCAUUCUAAAAAAUAUUCUAUUCUACUCAAUCUAAAAAACUCUCCUCCUAAUAAAAAAAUCAACAAAUAAUCCAUUUUUAACAUAAAACUCAAUCUAAAAAACUCUCCAUUCUCCCCAUUCUAAUAAAUCAACAAGUACUCCAUUUGUAAUAUAAAACUCAUUCUAAAAAAUACUCCAUUCUCCUCAUUUUAAAAUACUCCCCUCAUUCUAAUAAAUCAACAGAUACUUCAUUUGUAACAUAAAACUCAUUUUACAAAACGCUUCAUUCUUCUCAUUCUAAAAUACUCUCCUCAUUCUAAAAAUUAAAAAAUACUCCAUUGUAACGUAAAACUCAAUCUAAAAAACUCUCCGUUCUCCUCAUCCUGGCUAACAUACUCUCCAUUCUAGCUACAAAACAUAAAACAUAUAUAAAAUACUAAACAUGAGAGGAGGGAUCGAGUUGCUAACCUUUUCCCCCUAGGUCGAGUGAAGAAGAAGCCCGAGCUCUCGGUCAAAUGGUUGAGCUCGGGCUCAGGGAGGAAGAAAAAGCUCAUUUUAUAGAGUUACCUUUAGUACCAACUGGUGGGUCUAGCCGGUACUAAAUGGUUGCAUGUUAGUACCGGUUGAAGAUACCAACCGGUACUGAGCCGGUACUAAAUAGCUUCCUCGGAAAUCUAGCUGUUAGCCACGCGGUCCACAUACCGUCAUUUAGUACUGGCUAAAAUUCCAAACUGGUACUCAAAGGCUCCGGUGACACUGCAGGUGAUAACCGGCACUAACACCACGCGUUAGUACUGAACGAAAAGUUAUCCGAUAGUAACGUGUUGGACGAAUGCUCAGUGUUUACAAGCGAUGGGUCGUAGUCCCGUCGGUCCCCAAGAAAACUGAGCUGCAGGAUGGUCGAUUGUGGCGGCCGGAUCGAACAGGAGCUCCCAAGGGGCCCCUGCCGCCUGCGCUUGCACGCAAAACGCUGUAGCUCACAGCAGCUGGUCCGGGGCGUACGUGCGUGGCCGUCUCCCCGUGUCCCGGAGCACGAGCAGUCGCCGCCGUGCAAGGAGGCUCCGCACCGCCGCCGUUGCUCCUGUGGUGAGCUCGCGCGACCGUACGUGUGGCCCGCAGGGCUGCAGCCGCCGCCGGAGUAUUUGACGUCGCGGAGAACAGAUCGUGACAGGACAGCGAUCAACCCAAAGACGGGCAUGGCAGCGUGUGGCUGCAGACGGCACUUGCCCAAGCGCGCAUGGCGACUUGGCGAGGCGGAGAAACGGGAGCCCGGAUCGGUUCACGUCGCGGACCUCACGAACAAAAUCCCGUCCAGCGUGGGCCGAAAAAAGCCCAUUUAAUUUCAGGGCCUCCGCCGCUCUCGUUGUAAAGCAAAACGAACUUAUAUAGAACCAAACAGAAAAUAAAGAAGGCCAACGAAUCCUCUUCUGUUAAUGAUAAUACCAAACCGCUAUCUUUUACCGCGUUCGGGCCAACACAAAGAACCUCCCCGUUGGUCUUCCUCGCCGAGCGUCAUGGUGGACGCCUUGUGACUCCAGCCUCGGAUGGAAAUAGUUAGCUUAGUGGGCUGGUUUGUGGGCUUUGAGCCCAUGUUGCUGGUGACUUACCCGAAAGAAACGAAUAUUUUAUACUCCCUUCUUUGGUGUGAGGAAAGAACGCGCGCAUGUGGCAGCAGGCAAAUCUCUGUAACGAUCUUACCAUUGAGCGUCUUGCGAGCAACUGUUAAGUGCAUCUCCGCCGGCAGGCACUCCUAGCAGGCGAGGCGGCCCGUUAAAGUUACAUGCGUGGCGGAUGAGCCAGCUUGCGCGCAAUCAAUCAGUUUUGCUAUUUCAUGGGCCCCAGUAAGCCCAUGAGCAUCUCGGGUGUAGAGCGCCACCACCGGUUGGAGCAUGGGCUCGCUCACAGAAGGCACCCCUCUCUUACAAUUCUUUUUUCCUUUUUAAUAUUCACGUACAAAAUCUCGUCCUAGUUUUAUCUUGCCGGAAUUGUUACUGGAACGGUACUCAGCUUCAUUAGGGACGGAAGGAGCACUACGCAUAGGAGUACAAUGCGCACGAAAAGGGAUCACAAACCAUGACAGGUAUGGCGAUUAAAGCCACAUGGGCUAUAAACGACGGGCCAUGUGACAGGUAUGACUAGGCGAAGCUGGCUCCUCGGUUUUCCAUUGUUGGAACUUGGAACACACUGAACAACGCAUGUUGAACAAUCCUCUCCUCAGUUUUCCCUUGUCGGAACUCACUGGACAAUGCAGGUUCGCAACAGCCAGGAAGGCAGGAACACACUGAACAAUGCAGGUUUGCACCAACCAUGUCACGGAACACGCAACAGACUUCAAUGCAGGUUUGCACCAGCUAUGUCGUCACAGAACACGCAACUAGAUUUCAAGGCCUUCAGUUUUGUGAUGGUCAGAUGUCAAAGGUUUAUCAUUUCUUCUAAAGAGAGAGAGAGGUUCUUGGUUUCCUGAUACAGUUUGAUGGCUCAACACGAAUACACAAUACAUCACUAGUGCAAGCAUGCAAUCUCUAUGUUGUGUAAGCCCCAAAACAGUUGCUACCGAGUACCAUCAUAUCCUGUGCAAAAACAUGCUCUUCGAUCAAGCAGUUGGAGCGAAUAAUUAACACUUGCUAUCACCCUAGAUGCGGUCCAGCCAGCUGCCAAGGCUUUCCUGAGAACCAAACUGCAAGUCCUGUCUCAAGACGAAAGAGAAAAAGAAAACAUGAUCAGAUUUGUCAGAGCAAUUAGCGAACAUAUUGGCACAAGGAACACCAGAAGGAUAAGCUUACACCAAGCUGAAGAUCUGGAGGCGUUCCGAGAUCCACAUUAUGGAGAUCAGGCAACCCAUAAAAUGUGUUCAGGCUCCUGUCAAGGAUCUCGUUCCUGCAUUGGGACAGAAUCGGGUAGUCCAUGGGAAGCAAUGCCUCGUCAUUUAAGGAAUUCGGGUCUUCACGGCAAAGCAGAGGUUCGUCUAGGUUCAGCUGAGCCCGAGAUGCCCCUCCAACAGCCUGCUGUUCUUCAGCUCCUGCACACCAUGCAGGGUUCAUGGCAUCAUCCUCCAGGCUAACAAUAGGAAUGAUAGGCUCUCCCUCAUCCUGCAGUAGUAGCUGAACCGAAACCACAAAGUUAGAGUAGUGGACAUGGUCAUGAAAACAAGGUUUUGGCAAUGCACCAACGGAAAUUGCAAGCAUAUAAGCUUUUAUCUAUUAUGUCAAAAACAUAGUGUACAUAUUUCCCGGAUGCUCCCUUCUCUAUCAGUGAAAUAGGCACAAUCUCAUGCCUAUUUGUUCAAAAAAGUAUAAAUUUCAAGGAUACUGAUAGAGGUGAUUAUGUACUUCAAUCUAUAAAGUAUUGUUGUGUGCUGAUUUUGAAACAUGGUUAUAAAUUGAUCUCUGCCAGAUCACCAGUACUAGUUCCCCAUUGGUUUUAGUGGGAGGUAAUACAAAUAGCUAGGUACAAACCACUUCCAAUUUCAACUCGACAUAUGCCUGCUUGUGCAUUUUCUAAAACUGGUUUAUACUUUGAUCUAGCAGUUUUUGUACAUAACAAUAAUCCCAAAAGAAGUUAAUAUGAGUUACCUGAUCCUGCAGGAUGGAAACAUUCUGCUCUGUUUCACAUGGACUAUUAUUAGCAAGACGUGGCUGUGGAGCAUUUGUCUUUGGAGUUGGAGUUUUAGGACCAAUCACAGAAGCAGAUGCAUCAGGUUUGUCAUAAGCAGCUUCUGUUUCAGAAACUUCCAUACUCUUAUUUGUUAUUUGGCAGAAGAUUUUGGAAACAACAAGAUCCCCGUCCUUUUCAUCCUCCUCUUGUCCGAGGUGAUACUGAUGCAUUACCCAGUGAGCUCUAUCAGGUUUUUCACCUCUAUGUGAAGUUUUGUACAGCACCAUUAUCUUCUUCCAACCUUUUUUAACACCAUUGUCAUAUAUGGGUUUGGAUCUCCCUGUCUUGUGCCAUCUCACAUGCUCAUCAGUAACAGUGUGAUCACUACUGCAGCUUAUGACCCUUCGACGCUUGCGCUGGCCACGACCAUAGGCUUUUGAAACUCUAUGGAAGAAAUGAGCAUUGCUGCCAUCUGUUUUCAUACCUACAAGGUCAAUCAGAACCAAAUUCAGAACAUGUAUACCCCAACAAAUUCAUAAGGAAAUACAAAUCUUAAGAAAUAGUUACCUACCAGGAAGAUUUUCAGGGUGUGAAUAGCAGAUUCCUUCAUCGUUAUCUAUAAUUGGAAUAAAUUCAUCAAUGAGCACAUGUGGCCUCGAACCCCCCAGACCAAUUUUCUCUUCUAAAUGUUCAAGCAACUCCAAAUCAGAUGGGUCAAACUUGACUCCAGCAGGCAGCCCAGGCCACUGCAUGGCAACCUGCAGAAUUUGAAAUGCACCAAAAUCUUGCUCAGAAUAUGUAAAACAGCUUCAAGUGAAUGAGUGGAAAGCCAAAUCUCCCUUGUCCCUCAUCUAAAUAGAACAGAUGUACUUACAUCACUGUUAUCAAUGACAUGACUGCAGUUCGGACAUUCCCUCCGUGCUUCUGCAAUCAAUUCGCUUAUUCUGUGAUUACCACUAGGAGUUGUGUAUCUUAUCUUCUUAGCAAUUCCCCUACAAGUUAUCAGCCACGACCUGCAACAAAAGGGACAUAUUGUCAUAUUGGUGCUGGGUCACAACACAAGUACUUGCACAAGAGAAUUUGAAGGCAGCGAAGCUAAAUUAGUUGAAAUGUAUGAAUUUGUAGCUAGUAGUCUGUGUGUAACAAAAAAAAAACAGAGUGAUUUGGUGUCCUGUUCUUGAAAAUGAAGCCCUGCCAAAACUACUUGGUGGCUGGACUUCCAGUGGCAAGGAAUAAACUGAACCACACAAAUGCUGAGACUACGUGAAACUUAGUCUAGCAUAUUCUAACUACAGUGCUGGUCACAUGACAGGGCAGUACGGUAAACACUCGUGUGCUCUGUUUCUCUGUUCCUUCUAUUUCCCCCACUUAUCCCCACUCUGGACAUGGCUGCAAAAUUGAUCACACCCAAAUUUAACUGAUGCGGUGUACUAGUGCUACUACAUCAAGUAAAAUCAUGAUGUUCUGGUACACCAAGCUGUGUACUAGCUAAUGCCAACCACCGGCACUACCUGCUAUUUGGGGCAUUCAAUCCAAUCCAAUGCAAAUGUUAAAUAAGUCCCAUUAUCCAAAAUUUCUGAACCCCCCCUCGGCGUUCGCCAAGGCAAGCCGACAUUAGCAAUAGCAAACCAUCCAACCCAAUCGAACCGAUCCCCGACGCGAUCGAGAAGCCGCAAUCAUCUAGCGCGGCCGCGCGCGGGGACGGGACACGGAAGAAGAAGGAAGAAUCCUCGCAGUCGCAGCACUAAAAACCCCAACUAAACCCGAGGAGCCCAAAUGCACCGCGCGAUCGAAUAAGCAAGCAAGCCCUAACGAUCAUGAUUGAAGUCGAAGGGGGAAAAGAAGGUGGCGCAGAGGAUGACUAGUACCUCGCCAUGGAUGCGCGCGGGCUCCGCUCCCCCCACGGCCCGCGGAAGGCGGAGGCGGACGGCGUGGCGGCGGCGGCGCGGUCAGUCGACAGCGGAACGGUGCCUCCUGGGUGCCUACCGCUCCCUCUGCUCUGCACUCCCCCCUCGCGCGGCGCGGCUCGGCCCGAUCGCGUGCGCGGUUGGAUUGGCCCCCACACGCUGGCUCGCCGAGGAAAUAUACACCCCUGCCUCGCACUCCCAGUAGGAGGAAGGCGGGAAAGCUCGCGCGGCGCGGCGGGAACCGGGAAGGCGAUGCGCUCGCGCUGGCGGGCCGGGAGACGCGGAGCCUGUCCCGUCUUCCUCUCUGUCUCUGCUUCUGAGGCCCCGCGCCUGCUUUUUGCCUCGGGAACCCUGAGCGCUGCUGCCACGGCAGUAAUGCCAGCGACCGUUGCAGCUUCCUUCUCCCCCUCCCUUUCCUUCCUUCGCAAGCCGCGCACGGGAACCGAGCGAGAGCGCUCGUUCGGUCUCGCGGGGCCCAUGUCCAACCCCGCUCCGCUGUUUUUCACUUUUUUGUUAUGGCGUGCCCGUGGGCCGCGUCCGAAUGCACGGCCUAGGUCGUGCCAUGCGAGGCCAGCCCGAGCCCACUAGCCCGUUUUCCUCAGCAAUCGCCGCCAUGGGCCCAGCUCCUUCGGACCGUAAGCUUGCCUACGAUUGGGCCGAAAUAUACAACACCCACCCUUUCGUCAUCCAUCUGAGUAUGAACAUUGUGACUGACCAUCUCCGUCCGCGGAGCGAGACGACAGCAACACUGCAACAGCAUGACUCGACCACGAUGACUCAGCUGUCAGAGUGAUAGAUCUGCACAGGCUGACUGGAUCCUCACUCCGGCCUUUUCUUUUCCUGUUUUUGGAAAAGGGGGAGACAGUGACCUCAUUUGUGAUUUGUCACGAGGGAAAUGACGGGUUCUGACUAAUAUUUACUCCUCCGUCUCAAAUUAUAAGUCAUUUUGACUUUUUAACUUUUUUAGUACAUCCACUUUGCUAUGCAUCUAGGCAUAUAACAUCCACUUUGCAAUGCAUCUAGACAUAUAAAAAAGUCAAAGCGACUUAUAAUUUAGGAUAGAGGCAGUAGUUCGGAUCAUAUUUAGUUCGGAUCCUAUGGGAUAUUUGAUACUAAUUAAAAGGACUAAAUGUGAACUAAUCUAAUUGCAUAAGAGCAACUUCAAGAGGCUGCUAAUCUUACCCCCAAUACUUUUUUUUAGGAAAAAAGAGAAAAAACGAACUCCUACAGUCCACCCAAACCUUCCCCCAUUUUUUAGCAACGCUAAAAAACAGCCUACCACCGCGUAUAUUUUAGCGUUGGCAUUCCUCCCCCAAUCCUGAUUCCCGCACGCUCGCGCAUCCCUUCCGAUGGCCCAAUACGAUGACGUGGCCUGUUUUAAAAUAUUGGGGGCUAUUUAUUAGCGAUCUGCUGUGGAUUGAUAUGUUUUUUGGGGAAACUUUUUUUGAAAGAACCCCCAAUAUAUAGUUUUGGGGAAGAAUUUUUUGGAGUACUCUUGGAGUUGCUCUAAAUGAGGGUUAAUUUGCGAGAUGAAUCUAUUAAACCUAAUUAAUCCAUAAUUAGCACAUGUUUACUGUAGCAUCACAUAGGCUAAUCAUAGAUUAAUUAGGCUUAAUAGAUUCAUCUCGCAAAUUAGCCCUCAUUUAUGCAAUUAGUUUUAUCAUUAGACUAUAUUUACGGCUCGUUUGGCAAGGCUGCGGCUGUGGCUAAAACAGUUAUGACUGUGGCUUCUUCGAUGAAACAACUUUUUUUUUGCUUCAUCUAGUCUGGAUGGAAAAACGUUUGGCAAAACGGCUUCUCCUAGAUGAGUAACAUGGAUAAAAAUAUGAAAUGUCCAUAAUACCCUUCCUUAUUUUUUUUCUUUCCUUUUUAUUUUUUCUCCCUUCUUUUUUUUCUCUUUCCUUUAAUUCUUAUCCGCCUCCACCAGCCUUAUCUGCUCGCAACGCCUCCGCCUACCUUAUCCACUCACAACGCCUCCAGUGCCGCGCUCCACCGCCAGCCGCCCCAGCGCCUCCGCUCCAUCACCGGCCGCCCCAGCGCCGUCAUCCCUGCCCUCCACCGCGCUGUGCCUCCGUUCCCACGGCGCUCCGCCUCCAGUGCCACGCCGCGCUGCCAGGCCACCUCCACCACGCCGUUCCACCUCCACCUCGCUGCUCCGCCUCCAUCGCGCCGCCAGACCGCCUCCACCACACCCUUCACCUCCACCCGCGGGCUCCCCAAGGGCAAGGGUGGGAACGACGGGAAGAAGCCGCGGGGAGCCGAUUUUUUGGGCUUCUUCUUCGUCAAAUGGCUCUAGAGAGCGGGUUCGGAGGGGCUUCUUCCCCGAAGCCGUUUUGGUUAAGAUUGUUUGGUAGGGCUUUGGCUUCUACCAGUGGAGAAGCCGCAGCCGAAACCCUACCAAAGGGGAUCUUAAUACUGCUAAUUAGUGUGCAAACAUCCGAUGUGACAGAAACUAAAGUUUAGUCAGGUAUCCAAACACUCCCUAAGUUUCACUUUCAUGUAGCAUAGUUUCUACUGUUGCCGCAAUAUAUACAAGCGUGGCAUCGGCGUUUUAUGAUUUUGGCAAGUCCAUCCACAAGCGACGAGAGAAGCGAGCGGUCCAGUGCACUUUCGGUAGGACGAAAACCUGCUUCCCAACAAGUUCUCACCAGCAUCCCUUGUCUUCACCUCCGUAACUUACCCUCAGGUUGUUCCUUUCAUCCUCUCCAAAACGGACCCUGCAUCCCGAUCGAUCGAUUGAUCGAUCCUGGUCAGCAUAUCAAAACAGUGUGAAGCUAGUAGUAGUAGGUCUGUCUGAAGGGACGUUCAUUAACGUUAAUACACCUAGACCUGCCUAUCCAGCUCAACCCGGUCGCGAAGAUUCUUCAGAAAAGCGUUGCACCGGUGCAUAAAAAAGGUUGACACAGGCAUAAGGGGAAAAAAGGAUGGGCUACGAUCACCGGCCGUGCUGUACCAACGGGUUGCUGCGUGUGCGGAUGGCCGUGCGGUUGAACGACUCGGUAGCCGGUCAACACUCCCAAGCGAUCCUUAAUAAAUGCAGAUUGCAGAGAAAGCGAAGAUUUGCAGCCAUUGCAGGCCUAAGCUGGACGCACCACGGCCUGAAAACGACCGGGCAGGUCAACACUCCAGCAUUGCUACAUGCACUUGAUUAGCUAGGAGUAGGACCGCAGCGAACAGAGCAGCUUAUUGUAAUGUAAGCUAUUGUUUACUUCACCCCCAACUCCCAACUUUGACACUAUGUAAAAAGAAGAUUCUCCAUCACAUCAAACUUGGGGUACAUGCAUGGAGCACUAAAUGUAGACGAAAUUAAAAACUAAUUGCACAGUUUUGUUGUACUUUGCGAGAUGAAUCUUUUGAGCCUAAUUAGUCAGUGUUUGGACAAUAAUUCACAAAUACAAACGAAACGCUACAGUAUGCUACAGUGCUGUAACAGUAAUUUGACACCUCCAAACUUUAGCAACUAAACAAGACCUAAGCUUCCAAUUGCAGGGAAGAAAUUUGACGCUGCCCGCCCUCUUCUCUCCUACUGCAAAUUCCCCACGCGGAUCAUGCUGCCCUGAUAUGGUCCAACUGCCAAGUUUCUGAAGAAUCGGCCAAAAGCGGCCACACGAAUGAAAUACAUGACGUGUGUCAGGCGUAGCUGCCUCGGGUUCUACUUACGUGACGGGCGCAGGCGAACCGAAUCAAACCAGCAACAGCGGUCGCGGCAGUACGUCCGCGUGACGGAGCGCUAACCGGAGGCUCCGGAGUCCGGAGCCAUUUCCUGGUCUGCCACGUCACGACGACCAGGGCUACACGCGCGCGGGGAUGGGUAGUCAAACGAUAUCUGCGUCGACGGGCGACCGGGAUCCACGGCGAUGGGGACGGGGACCCGGCCACGGCGACACGGGCGGCGCGCGAGGUCAAGGAGGAGCCGCCCGCGGCGAAGAAGCAGCGCGAGGGAGGCGCCGUACGCGCGUUCGCAUCCAAAGGAAACGAAGCGGUCCAACGAGGCACGCCGCGCCCGCGCGUUAUCCGUUGGGGGGCGGGCGGCUCGGCGCGGCGGAUCGAGUCGAGCGGGUGGCCGGGACAUGCCGCGGCGCUCGUGGCCAGGUCAAGCAUGGCAGCGACGCCGCAUCUGCUGCGCUUGUACACGGCUCCGACCCACUUGCCCGUACGCGUAGAUUGUCGCGUUCGCGUACGUCGUCCGUGGAAAUUUGGCGCGAGCAACUGCAACUGCAACUAACUCUACUCGGACCAGCGAUCCAGCGGCGACGGCGCGUUGUACUGUCCUUAUCGGCGUCGUACGUCUCAAACUGUAAGGGCCUGAGAUCUUUGGUACGUACCGUAUCCUAUUAUUGAAGAAAAAAAAUCGCACGAAAUAUCUCAGUGCUCGGCCAGUUGGGAGCUCGUGAUAGCUCCACGUCACGCUGCCGAAAACUUGGGUGUCACCGUGAUACUGGCCAAACACCCCAGAUACAACGAGCUGCUGCUGUAUCGAGAUUUUACGCAGUUCAGUCUAGGCUUCUCUGCGCAACCGAAAUCUCUCAGCAGCUUCAGAACCUCUCUCAUCUGGACCACUGUUCAGGAACGUGCAGUGCAGGCACGAGGAUACAGCAAGGCACACAAGGCGCGUAGGGCCGCAGCACUGGAAGGGGGGUCUGUUUCCAGGGCUACAGGCCACACGACCAAGCCAAUUCGCAGCAUGUUUGCCAAGUCUGGCUGAGGUGGACGCCCGACAGGAACAGCCUGUUCCCACCAGCUCAACUCCAUCCAGGAGCACGCACACAUGCCCUGGCCCCCCGUCCCGCCCUCUCACAGGUUGCUCAACAAACAAACAAAUCAUUUGCAAACGCUAAAAAGACCAUUACAAAGCUCGAGAUGGGUUACCCAAUUUCGACCUGCCAAACGGUCUUAGGAUUUGACACUACGGAGAUCUUACCAGCCUGGAACGACCGUCAAAAGGAACCCCAAAACCCUUUUUGUUAGGAAAUCCACCAGACAGCCUUUUUUUUGUUGGACCAAAGUUUGAACUUCAGCGUGUCGGUUAGAAUCAAUUCCAUCAUGACAUGUCAGACUUCAGAGAGUAGAGGUACAUGGACAACAACUCAGAGCAACUGUCAGUAAUGGGAACCAGGAGACGAUGUACAAGAGCAAGAGCAAGAACUCAAAGCCACUGUCAGUAAUCUGGUAAGUCAAGACAUUGUAUUGUACAGCACGAAGUGAGAGAGAAAAGGAAAGAAUCUGAAAUAUCGCUCGGUAUGAAAUCUACAAUAGUUAAGAGUUCAUAUAUCAAUCAUGGAAGCAAUGAAUAAAAACUCAGGUGGUAUAAAUAAGCACACACACUGCUGAGCUUCUCCGCAAAACAAGAACGCAGCAUCGAAGCCAUGCUGCUGUCAGGGCCUUCCAAGGUUUGAAUUACACGGGUACAGAAUCUCAUAUGAACUCAACCAGCAGCCAAGCGAUCACUCAACUAAGUCAGCCAAUCGCAUCAGAUACAACCCCGCAACAGCAGGGUGUUCCUCCUCCUGGGGGACAUCGGCCAGCAACGUCCCUGCACCUCAGGUCAUGAUGCAAACCAGAGUGGCAGCCUAGCCACUGCCAGUUUCCCUCAUGCAGUAGCCAGGAAGAAGAUAUCUAUACUGAUCGAUUUGCUCCAGCAGAUAGGCGGGGAGAUGAACGGCGGAGUAUGUGCUUGGAAU
rnacentral:lncRNA from 1 species